rnacentral:lncRNA from 1 species
UUGUGGGAUCUGUAAUCACUCAUAUUAAGAAAACUAUCCACAUUUGGACCCGUUAGAUUUAUUCCUCUAAAUAUAAAAUCAUCAGAUGCUAGUAUUUCUCAGCUUGUAUCAACAAUCAUAAGAUUUCACUAACAGGGCAGUCUUCAAAACUUUGGCGCAAGAGUAAAAAUGGUAUGCAUAACAAGUACUAACAAAAUGAUGAAAACGGUUUGCUCAUUUGAAACACUAAAUAUUAAGUUUGUGUACCUUGUUCGUAUAUCCUUCGUGUUCUCCUCUGUCUCACCCUCUCGCAAAGCCAAAGUUGAUGGUUUAAGGCUUGGCUUGGCCAUACCGAUUAUGCUUUCACAUUGCUCCGCAGUUGCAAAAUUAGGAAAAUAUAGUGCACGCGGAUACCAACUCAAGACCUACACAGUUCAUAUGCCCUAUUCUUGUUAGCUAAUAAAAAUUCAAUCUUUGAUCCCACAAAACUCAUACAAUCCUAAAUUGAUCAAACUGUUUAAAGAAUCGUCACAAAGAAAAGUCGACAACAGAAACCUGAAAGGGAAUGGAAGUUAAAGAAUCGUCACCGGUCUCUCCAUAAGGCAUCGAAGUAUACUCUGUUUCCAACAGUCUCGUUCUUAGCCUAUUAUCACCACCCCCCACAUCCUGCCAAAAAUCAAAAUUUGAAAAUUGUUAAAUAAAUUAUUUUUGAAAAACUGAAAAACCCACUAAAGUUCUUGAUAAAAAACAAAAACCCCAUAAAAGGAAAAAUGAAAACUUUGCCUGAGAGAGGAGAGAUGAGCCGUAGAAGCCAGCGAGGAAGAAGAAGGAGCAUAAGAUGAAGGUGGUUGGUAACCCAAGUUUGGACUUCAACUUGAACUUGGAGCUCCAAUUCCCUUUCCCGCUUUUGGCUCUCAUUGUAAUUUCAAUUUGUCUUCAAAUGCAGGUGGCAAUGGUGGUGUGAUUGGUGGCUUCUACUUGCUCUCUCGUCUGUAAAUUUUUGUGCUUUUGUUUUGCGUUUGACAAACGACAGUCGAUCAAAGACGAUUGCAGAGAGUCUUUGUCAAGACUGUAAACAAGCGUGUUCUAAAUUCUAAUUGCGCGCACAGCACGGCGGGAGUUUGCGUAAAACUACUGAGAUUUUUGUAAUCUGACCAAAAAAGGAAGACUGAGAUUUGUGGAACCAAAUUACUGGGGGUGUAGUCAAUCUUAGAGGAUUUGGAAUCCAAUGGGUACAACGAAUAUAUUUUGGUCGGGGGAGCAAAGUGCUCAAAUCCAAAGUCAUAACCCACAGAAUUGUGUCUCUGACAAAGUGGAUAAAUAGAUUCUUCCCAAGGCGGUCCUUUGGCUUUCAUGGUUUUACAACUUUACUUUUUUUUUUUUUUUUUUAAAUAACUUUCGCUUUGUAAAUUCAAAUUCUACCUUCUCCAUUGUGAUUAUUCUCACUUGUUCUGAAAAGGGUCAAGUAUCAUCCUUCAUUAUUCCAACUAGAAAUAGAACCCCCAAUCUUUUCGACUCCUGAAAAGAUGGCACUAAAUACCGUUCUACACAAUUUUGAGACUUUCUAGAGAGAGAGAGAGAGAAGUUACAAUCUUUUAGACGGUGAAUAUUGAAAAACCAUGGCCAAAGAGGAGGAAAUCAAUAAGAAAAUGACAUGAAGAAAAAGGGUAUGAUGAAAGAAAUAACGCUUGGCCUAAGAUAUUACCCACAAAAGAAAAAAGGUAGCCUAAGCGUCACUGGGGUCGCAUCAUAUUCUCUCAAUUCUUUGCCGUUCUCAUCGUUCGUGGAUUUUCUUUUUUCACUUUUUACCGUGACAAAUGUGUCUUUUACCUAUUGACCCAAAAAAAACGUAUCUUUACCUUUCAGACACAGCCUUUUUUAUUUGGGUGGAUUUGGACUAUUUGUUGUUAUUUUACUGCAGACUCCCUGGUUUUUCUCCCUCGUUUGGGUCCGGACUUUGGCCCCAAGGAUUGCACACAAAACCGCGUGGAAGGUAACGAAUUCCACAUUGCAUUUGCACAAUCAACAACCCCCAACACUCUGUUUCCACACACACACACACAAAAAAUAAAAUAAUAAUAAUAAUAAUAACAAUAAUAAAUCUCCAAAGGCCCUGGCAUUUGGAUAAUCUAAAUUACAAGCCUACAUAAUAGACGGUCCAAAAGUACACACACAAAGGAGAGGCUUGCACACAUGUUCAAUUGAGUGGUCCCACCCAUGAAAUACAAGUCCUUAAUUAUCACACAUUUUGUCCACCUGGCUUGGGUCACCCUCUCCUGGCAAGUAAAUUACAAAAAUAAUUCUGAUCAGUUGUUUUCCUCCACGUAAAUAAUGCAUGGUCCUUGAAAAAACACAGCCAUGUCUUUUAACUAAAGAGCUGAAACCUCACUCAUCUCUUUCCCCAACUUCAAGCCAGUUGAACAGAGAAAUUCAGAGCACACCUAAACUGCGCUUGGUUCAGUUCAACUUGGGGAAAUAGAUGCUCCGGGCAGAUGUAUAUUGCUCUCCGCUUUACAGUCCUCCACAGGUCAAGUUAGUGAAGGUUGGUAGCAGCUCCAGCUCAUGGCUGAUCCAAUACCGCAGUGCUCGAAGGCUACCCAAGGGGGUUUCUGUCAAAGCCUUGAAAGAUGAGGCAGGCGGGGAAACAAGCGGUUUCCGUGGCCAGAGUUGGGAUCCUGGGUCAGAAAUCGAGGUUCCUUAUGAACAAAGGCCGGUAUGUUUUCACUUUCUCUGUGUACCUUCCGCAGCAAUCCCAUUUCUUCAAUGGUCGACACAAAUUAGAUGAACUUAUCCGUUGAAUGAGAAUUCAGCAGGAUCCGUUGUCUUUAGCUAGGUCCAGUUGGUAAUAAUCACUACCCCUCUUGAAGAAACCUUGUGACAACAAAUCUAGUUUUUCAGUUUUCUUAUAUAUGAAUCAGAUAAUAUAAAAGAAAUAACAAGGAAAAUUAGGCAUCAUGAGUAGUGAGUGAAAUGCUUCAUAUGCUAUGGAAACAAUGGCUCCUAUAGCCAAGUAGUACCUAUGCCCACUUUAAGUCAUGGGAUUGAAAAGGUGUUCGAAUCCCAUAAGUGUAAGAGGAGGUUCUGAGGGAAAGUCACGGCCAUCCCUUAUUAUGCACCCCAGCAAUUGGCCCAAAAAGAAAAUGAAUAGAAAAGGGAAAGGGUAGCAGAUUCGAACAGAUUCCCCCACAUUAUUUCUUGUAAGCAAUAUGUCAUGAAAAUUCAUACUUACAGUUAUUUGGUUCCAUAAUAGGUGAAUGAGUACUCAUCUCUGAAGGACGGAGUUUUAUACUCGUGGGGUGAACUGGGACCUGGGCCUUUCCUCCUUCGUCUUGGAGGUUUGUGGUUGGUUACUUUCACAACUCUAGGAGUGCCUAUUGCAGCUGCAAGCUUUAAUCCAUCAAGGGUAAGAUAUUGAAUGUUUUAAAGUCAAAAUAAAAAAUAUGUGGAUAUGGCCAGAUACUUUAUAUAGAGUAGUAGUGUACAGAAAAAAAUAAUAAAAAUUAAUGUCUCGGGACCAACAUAUCUUUCAGAAACUAGAAGAGAAAUGUAUCUCGUGCUUCCAAAUGUCUAAGACUAUACUCAAACGGUCAGCAAAAUCACACACAGAUCCGCUGGCAUAUUACUAAAAAAGUUAAACAAGAAGCACAUAUCAGCACCAGCAAGAGGUAUUUCAUUUGUCUUUACUCCAGUUGUUCCAACCUUGCAGGAUCCUCUAAAAUUUGCGCUAGCUGCUGGAACUGGAACUCUUUUUGUUGUAUCGUUGAUCGUCUUAAGAAUUUAUCUGGUACUAUUUUCAGCUUACUUCAUCUUAUAAUCACUACUGGAGUGCAUGUGUGGAAGUUUGACAUUGAGCACUAGCAAAAGCUCAUAGCCAAAACUUCAAUAUUAGAUGAGAAAACCACUGCAUGGUCUGUUAUGAUACUGAACCAUGGACUAAAUUCUACUGGUCACAAUAUAUAUUAUUUGUUUCCAGUCCCCAAAUACAAGAGAACAUACUUGUUUAAUGUACAGGUUCCCCAGUAUGUAAGGAUUCCAUGAAACAAAUGCACGGCACUCCCAAAAAUAAUAGCAAUGGGGACUUCAAAGCAAUUUUCAUGCAUGAUAUUUGUUUGAUACACCGCUUGAUGUAGAAUUUUUAACGAAAGUAAACCAUAUUAUUAUUCCUAUUGCAGGGAUGGAGUUAUGUUGGUGAUCGACUACUAUCAGCAGUCAUACCUUACGAAGAGAGUGGCUGGUAUGAUGGACAAAUGUGGGUAAAGCCACCUGAGGUUAGCACCCUUAACCUCAUCCUUUCUCAGUUAAUAAGAAACAAGGAUGAAAUCAUCUUGGACAAGUUAGCCUUCCAAGUUCAAUCACAUCUUAUUCAAGUAUUCAACUGAAACAGGCUAAGUAGAAUAAUCAGUAAAUGAUCAAAUUCAUUCAAAAGAAUUAACUAAUCACAUGAGGCUUGAUGUUUAUGCAUAUAUUGCCUCUCUACAUCAAAAACUCGAAAUUAUGAUUAUGCUGUGGAAACGAAUUUGUGGCAUAUCAUUAGAGCUUAAUACUGAAACAAGGUUUCUGAUAGUCGACUGUGUAUAUAUGUGUGGUGUAUAAUCUAUGAGAUAUUAACUAAGCAUGGUUAUCAGAGAAGGUGAGAAUCUGAAUGUAUCUAAAACUGGUACACGCAGAAAUUUAAACAAUUAAAAAAAUCAAGGUCUGUGUCCUACAUAAUGGGAAUGAAAAGAGAAGAAUCUAUCAAGGUAAAAACACAUCCAAUUGAACAGAGAAAAAAACAUGUAAAACCAUCUAGGCCUGUGGCAACCCAUAAUUUAGCCAGAUAUCAACAAAGCAUGAUGAUCCUAAUGAAUUUCAUCAUUUGAUUACUAAGAGAAAUAAACGUCAAGUAAAAGAGAGUACUUAUACUAAGAUAAGAAUAAGUAUUUCCACAAUACCUGUCCUGUCACAAUUCUUGUUACCCCGUUGCUAUGGCGGACCAUUUUAUCUUGUGGCCAACCACUGAAUAAAUGAUAGCAGCGUACCUAAGUGAAUCUGAUCAUAAUUUGAGACUCAGAAAAAACAAAUAGGAGUUUCCCAUAGUUAAGAGUUUUGCUACCAUGCAUAAAUCAAGAUCAGCUUAUUUUUGGAGUUGUCCGGUUGAGUGAACAGUCAGAAUGAAUAUGGUACAGAAGGAGGGCAUGAGAUCAACCUUCGUCUUCCCUCUAUUACCCAUACAGAUUAAUGCAGGAACCAUCUAUGUGUAAGGUUUCACCACUGAAAACUGACCCCUUAAAUUUUUCCUGUAGGUCUUGGCUCGUGAUAGACUAUUGGGCUCUUACAAGGUACUAGCAACUGGAACUUGAAACGCAUGCCAACUAUCAAUAUACAUCCCAGAGAAGGAUGCGUGCAUGCUAAACAAAGUUAUUUUGAGGUGGAAGAAAAACAAAAUGCACAGAUGCACACACCUUAGUUUUCAAGGCACUACAAAAGACGUGAGCUGCCAUGUAUAAACUUCAUCCUUAGAAUUAUGAGAUUCAUAUGAAAAAUUGAAAAUUUAUGCAAGCAGGUUAAACCCGUCAUCAAAUUGCUGAAACAGACUCUAGUUGGAACAGGGGCAUUACUUGUCACAGGAGCGUUGCUGUUUAUCUUUGCUACACCGGUGGAGGAUUUCAUUCACACCACAUUUGGCAUAAAAGAUAACUCAUCAAAUGUUUCCGCCUCAAAGAUCAGCACAAAGUUCAGCAUAAGGUUUUAUAGAUAAAUAGAGAUUGCAACCCUCUGAUCAAUUAUUUACAUAUAAGUUUUUUUCUACUUUGUUCUCCAAUGUUACUUAAUCUUGCAGAAAAGAGGAGUUGCUAAAAUUGCCUACGGACGUGAGGUCUGAUGAUGAUCUAGCAGCAGCCGCUGCUGAGGCUGCUGAUGGAAGACCAGUCUACUGCAGAGAUAGGUUUUAUCGUGCAUUAGCUGGUGGGCAGUACUGCAAAUGGGAGGAUCUACUUAAGUGAUGGGCAAAAGACAAAGGAAAAGAAUAAUUCAUAUGAAAUUCCAUAUCAUAAUAUACAAAAUUGUUUUACAAAACAAAGUAGUGGCCUGCAAGGCAAUGCAAUAUCCAUUAAGGAAAAUCCAAUAGCACUGGCAAAUACAUGGGGGCGGGGGGGGGAGAAGGGAGGGGGUAGUGUGAUAUGGUGGCAUGCCAUCUUAGUCACCACCUAAUUUUAUAAAACAAAUUCUGUAAAAGCAUUUGACAAAUAGAAUUUUCUCUACAACUAUGCUCUGUAAUUUGUACACUUAAACAGCAAAAAUGUAAGGUUCUAUCUCAUUAUAUUAGGAGAACAAAUUAUUAGAAAAUCCGAGAUAAACAAAGCUUGAAAGAAUGAAAUGAUGUAGAACCCACACGCAUAUAUAAGGUGAUGUGUCAAAAAUUGAGCACAUCAUGUCUGAUUUACUACUUUGCUGUACAUUAUGCAAUUAAUGGAAGAGGAAAAAUUACCAACUUUUCAAAGAAGAUAGUAACUAUACAUGAUAAACAUGUGGAACCAUGUAAAAUUAAAAACCAGGAAUAUACAUAUAUAUCAUAGCUACGUGAACACAUCAAAAUACCAUUGGUUUGCUUCCGCAUUAUCUACUACCACCUCAACACUUUUAGCCAAAUGAACUUCCUGAAAAAGAAGAUAUAAGUCUUCAAUCUCAAGACUGAUGAAGUUGACAUAAUGCACACUCUCCAUGCCUAAACAGAAACUCCUGAGAAUAGCUUCCGGACAACAGCUGCAGGAACAACUAGACAGUCCUAAAUAUCCAAAUGAUAAUCUUUACAAGUCUUGAUAGCAGGAUGAAAGGUCAUCUUCUUCAACACCAAUCACUGCCAGCCAUACUUGGUAUCCAAACAACCUUGAUUAGUGGGGUUUGCAUGAAAUCAACCACAGAGCCUCUGAAGUCAGAAAUCAAGCAUUCUACCACGGCAGAUAGCUCAGCCAAAUUAGUGUGAAGCCACAAGCAAUAUCCCCUUACAAACAAGUUUGUAGCACCGAUUGCAAGCUCUAAAGUCUAAAUAGCCGUACUUCAAAAAGAUGCCAAGAGCCAUUUGUGAUCAUGAAUGCUAAUUGCUACACCAAAUUAGUGUAUUAGAGCCCCAAAUGAUAUCUCUCCCAAAAAAGUUCCGCAAAGGCUAGACAAUUGACCUUCGACUGUAUGCUAUCAUCAUGGUGAAAACUAAUAACAGGAUACAGGACCAUUGCUUUUGCACUAAUUGCAGAUGUGUAAGCAAUCUGACACCCUGAUUAGAGCAAGCAAAAUCAACGAUGAAUCCUUGGAUCUCAGAAAAGAGGCAUUUACCAUGCAAGAGAGCUGUAGAACCCAUGGCGUGUAGUUCCCCAACUAGUAUACCUCCUAAACAAGUCUUUUGCACCAAUUGAGAAAUUUAAAAAUCCGUUUGUCAACAACAUCCCUGAAUGCACUUUUCCUUCUUUUUGCAUCUUCAAGAUCCAAAGUUCUAUAUGCAAGAGCAAGAAGAUACAUUGCAGGAUGGAGUCUCCUGCAUAUACCAUAAAAUGGAUAGUAAGUGUAUUUCAAAAGGUAUCAAAGCACCAAUUAAAGUCAUAAUGGACUAAUAGAGGGAUAACAUACAAAAGAGCUCCCUGAAAAUAAUAAACAUCUAAAGACAACACCAUUAAUCACAAUGCUGGCUUUUGACAAGAAACACAAAAAGCAAAUUUUAAUAAAAAUAAAUAAAAACACUAAAUUUGAAAAUAAAUUCUGAGGUUUCACUGUGAACACAUUUUUCAAGCCAUUAUAAGAUUCACCAGAUCUCAUUUUAUUUUUUUUCAACCCUUAACACACAGUUUGGAACCAGAUGGAAAAAGGGUUCACCUCAUUUGCAAUUGAAUUCAUUGAAUUAAUUCGUAUUGAAUUAUUAUGCUUAGAACCAAACAUCAACCGUCAUGUGUUCCAAACUCAUCAAAUUACAGUAUAAGUUAAUCUAAUUCACACAAAUUGAACAUAAAUGCCAAACAAGUUGAAAAUUAAAAUUCCUGUUCUAUUUAGUAAAGUAAUUAAACACUAGAGUUGAGAAAACUGUGAAUAAUGAAAAAGAGCUUAACCUCAAAGCACACGACCUACUUACCGUUCAAAUUGUUUGCCUGCAUCAAAGCCAUCCCAAUACCGUUGUGAUGGCAACAUCCGGCCUUUCUUAUCUCUGCCAAAUGUUUCAAUAUACCAACCACCUAUAUCAUGCAUGCCACAGCGAGGCUCAAACAGCCAAUAUCUGUUCGCAUAAGCUAGUUAUGAAAACUAUUUAAUGUUACAAUCUGUUGGACUAAUCUCAUAUGAUAUACAUAGGACUAACAGGAUUACUCUAACCAACAAUUUUUUGGGUAGCUUACGUAAAACAGUCUCACUUGAGAACAGAGAAGUAGAUUUAUAACUAUGAAAGUGAUAUCACAUCACUCUAAGUAAACUGAAGAAGAAAAAAAGGAACCACAUAAAGAAUAACAAUGGUAGCAAAAUGUUUGCACGUUUUGAUAAACAUUACAAACAAUUGUCUGGUGACGCCAAAACUAUCAAAUUUAACACACAAUUAUGAAGAGAAAGAAAUUACGCAUGACAAAGCCAUAGCAUGCUCUUGCAAUGAAGAAAGAACAUGGAGGCAUAUUUACAUGAAAAUAAAGUAUCAGAAUGAAUCCUUUACUGAAAUUAAAGUGAAGCUUUCAUACAGAUGUCGCAUCUUACUUGCUUGGUGGUAACUGGGCUCUACUGCAUCUACACUCACAAACAGAAACCUUUUCUCCCAAUUCAUACCAAAACAUGUGUUUCACCUGUACAAAUGUUAAAAAUAUAAAUAUAAGAAUAACUAAUUUGAAAAUACUCUAUAUAUUAUAAAGCACCUCUAAGGCAAAUAUAAUUAGAAUCACACAAACAGAAAUAUGUCACUGACAAUAACAAAAUUUCAGGCUGGCAGUAAUGGUGACCAAUAAUGGUUCUUAACAAGAUGCUUCAUGCAAUGAUAUGCAUUUGUACAAAAUGAACCCCCUAGAAUAAAAGUCAUGUCAGAAUAUAAUAUUUAUGCAGGCAAUAUGAGAAAAAGUUAAUCAUCACUAACACCAAAUCCGUUUUAGUUUAAAGAACUAUUGGCAGUCAUAUUUCAGUGCAAGUGCAUCUUAGAAAAUGCACCACUGGUAUAUACAAGAAAUUGCGGAGUAUCAUGCAGAAUCUGGAACCUGCAGAUUUUCCCUCUAAUCAAAUAUGACAAUGUAUAAACUUUAAGCAAGAAAUUGUAUCGACAAGGAUGAAAGCCAAAGAGCAUAAGAACUUAAGAAAACCAGGUUUACAAACCAGCAAUGUUCUAUGCUUCAUAAUCACAUGGGUUUUGGUACCACUGCUAUUGUAGACAAGGCCAGACCCUUCUUCUGAGCUAGUCCCUAAUCCGGUUAUAGUUCCCAAUAGAAUCCUCGAUCCAACGGCAGCACCUGAAAAAGAAUCUUCAGUAAACCCUUCGCUGGUAUGGACAGGAUUUUCAUUAGAGCUCAGAAAUACACGAAUGUGAUCAGACUCUUCAUUCUGCAUCCCAUCAGAGUAGCUUUUUGGAGGGGCUCUGGUGGCCGUAGCAACCACCCUCCCAGAUAUAUGCAAUUCUAAAUCUUUAUAUGCAUCUGAUGUUUCAUCUGUAACAUCCCAGGUUCGCACAUGAGCAUUUCCAGCAUCAUCAACACCACCAGAAUUCAUGCAGAUUCUCAAGUCCUGAACAGAUUGACAAAUCCCCAAACCCGCAGAUGUGGAAUAACUUAAUUUCUUAUUGCUGUAAGAUGAUAACUCUGGAACUAUAUUGACCAGGCAGACCAUCCCAAAAAGAUCACGGCCUGAAACAAAAUGCAGCACCUCUGGGGUUUCAUACACAGAUCUCUCUUCAGCUUCAAAGCAGUCAGGAAGAAGGUCCAUAGACUCAAUUAGAGGGCCAUAGUACGCCGCAUGUAUGGCUGAAUAAAAAUCUCCCUCAAGAACAUCAAAAUAACCUGUUCCAACAACCACCUUCCUCUCUGACAGCACAUCAUUUAUAGCAAGUCUAUACCACUUCAACCAUUCAACAACUUCCAUCUGCUUGUAUGUAGUUAGAUGACGCUUGUACAUGUGCAAUGUCAUGCCGCACCCAGAAUUUUUCUGCAUAAAAUUUCUCUGAGAUAACAGGUCCCUGUCAUAAUGGGCCCUCUUUUCGCAAUCUGAAAGAAUCUGCAAUCCAUUAUCGAUAGUGCAGUCAGGUCAGAAUACCUGUAUUUGCCUUGUAAUUUGUAAAUUCCUCUUUGGAUGAUUGCUCAUAGAAGGGUAAAUACCUACGAUCUUAUUCAAAGAAGAAGGCCUAUUGUUUGUAUCACUUUAUUAGUGCAUCAUGUGCAAAGAAGAUACUGAGGGUAUUGACCAUAUUUUCCUUCAUUGUUCCAUUGCUUUAGACUACGGCACAAGCUGUUUAGGAAAGACAGGAUAAAUUGGAUAAUUUCAUUUUUGUCUGUCCCUUUGUUUGCUAAGAGACUUUUUUAUUUUGGUGGAGGCAAAAAGAGGUCAAUUUUCUAUUUGUAGCCUCUUCCAUUUUAAUGGUCGAGUUACCAAAAGUUUAGUAUUUCUUACAAAACAAACUGAAGUGGCAAUUUAUAUGGUACAUUUCCUACAGCCUACACAGACUAAUGUGAUACCCGCAGCAUGCCACAGAUAAGCUGCAGUGUCAGUUGGUACACGGAAAUUGCAGUAAACAUCCUAUUUGUUCUUCUAAGAAUCCAAGCAAUAAAGUUCUCCCAAACAUAAGAUUUUUAAUCUAGCUAUAAUACAAACCCCAAUUCCUUUUUCACUAAUCCAAUUAUAAAUUUCAAGACUUUUUUUUUCUUUUGAAUGAAAAUUUAAGUAUAAUCACUUCCCAAACCAUGUAAUGUUCAUUCAUCAUAACCAAAAAAAGUAGAUGAAAAUGAGUUUAAAAUCGAAUAAUUAAAAUCAGAUAAUUGAAGACAACCUCAUAGGCGGCGAGGAUUUGCACGAAUCUGCGGGAAGCAUCGGAAUCGUUCUUGGACUCGGCGAGGUCCGGAUGAGUCUGUUUCGCCAAUUUGUGGAAAGAAGCUUUGAUUUCGGCAAAUGAGCUGGUUUCUGAAACGCCUAAGACCUCAUAGGCGUUCUCCGAGGUGAACUCGGCCCGAGCUGACUCGGUUCUGCUACUUAACCACCGAGUUCCGGUACUCUGAUUGAAGAUAAAUAAGAGAUAACACCUUGGAUUUGGUCGAAUUGAGAGCAGAGGAAAUGGACGAUGGCGAAGCAAAUCUCCGGGAUGAGAAGCCAUUUUUUAAUUUUACUUGUUCAUUUGGAAAUUUCGGAAAUUUUGGAAAUGGUGGAGCUGCUGAGACAUUGAGCGAGGAACAGUGAAGGUGUGGUUUGGGGAGUCACACUGAGACUGAGGAGUGUAUGGAAGUUGACAGGUGCCGCUCGCUGCGCGUUCGUUAGAGGAAGUGAAUGGUCCGGUCUUGACACGUGGCACAAGAGUUGCAAGGAUUCUAAUUUCAAUUUUCUUUUAUGAUUUCUUUUUCAACUUUUAUCAUUGAUGACAUUUUUUAAGAACUCACUCCCCGUUUUCUCUUCUCUUUUUUUCUGUGUUUUUCGUUGUUCAUAUCUCCAGUGAUGUUGGUCACUCACUCGAAUUAGGGGGCGAUGGGGUGGGGUUGGUCCGUUGGGAUUACUUUAUAACGUAUUUGGGGGUUGAUCGAGGGUAGUGGAUGGGUGGCUACGGGAAUGUGUUUAUUUCCUAAUUUCUCCGCUUAGGCCCCACAAAGAGGGAUGACUUGGCUAGGCCCAUAAGGCCCAAAGGCCGUGAUUUGAAACCUAGGCCCAAAUUUUCGAUCCAGCCCAAUGUGGGGAUUGAUUAAGUCAGUGACCUGGCAAUAUUAUACAUAACCUGUUAACACGACACGAAUUCGCACAAAAAUUUCAGUAUUUGGAUCCGAGUUAUCGUGUGGUUAAACUAACAGGUUGUGUUGUGUAAAUUUGAGAAUACCCAUUAACCCGUUAAGCUUAGGGCCAUUUUUGUAAAUUUAUAUAUUUCCUCCUUUUUUUUUUUUUUUUUCCCAUCUCAUUCUUCUCUCCCUCCCCCAUUCCCCGACUCUCCCGCUGUCUUUCUCUUUAAGUUUCUUCUCUUUUCAUUAAUUUUCUCAGAAACCAAACAUAGCUUUCUUUUCUUCUCUCUCUCUCUCUCUCUCCCCCUCCUCCUUCUUCAGCUAACCCUCUCUCUCCCUGGUUGUGUCAUUAAUGGAAGUUUAUGAAUUGGGGAAGGAGGAUAGAAAGAGGAAAAGGUGUGGUUUUGUACGUGGUUUUUUUUUUUUUUUUUUUCAGUUUUCAGUUUUUUAAUUUUGUUUUAAUUCUUAACGAGUGAAACGGAUCAUGUUGUGUGAUUCGCAAAUUGUAACGGAUCGUGUUCGUGUUUGACAUUUUUCACUAGUUUUCUUAUCGUGUCGUGUUAACCUGUUAAGAAAAGCAGAUUGACACAAACACUGCAAAUACGACACAAAUGCCAAAUAUUCUACGGCACAAUAUAAAAAAAUUAUGUUGAUCAUUAAAAGCAUCUUUAAAACAGUAUGCAAAAUGACGUAUGUAUAUUUUGCCUGCUCUUUCGAAGAAGAAAAUGCUUAUAUAACACAUCAAAACAUGAUUUGCCUACUCAUUACACUCUUGGUGAUGCUCUAUAAAACAAAAAUUAGUAUCUCGCAACUUCACGAAUCAUUUUGUGAUGAAAACCCGAUGUAACUUGAUAUAAAUGAAUUAGGUUAUACAUUCAAUUUUCGGCUGCAGUUGGGAACUUCAGUCACAUCCUUCUAAAUAUCAUAAAUAAUCCACAUUAAUUUCAUAAUAUCAUUUACUUCGAGGCAGUUGAUGAAAUUGAAAGACAAGACAUUACUAUCUAAUUAAAUUACCAACAAGAGAGGACAAGACUGUCCAUCUGGUAUAAUGGUGCCAUGAAUUCAGCUAUUUGUUUCUCUUGUCACUACAAAAUAAUGCACUUAGAUAAUAUUAAUAAUGGACCUCCUUCAUUUAAUUUAGUCAUGAAUAGCAAAUAAUCAAUCCUAAUCUUCCAUUUGAAUUAUGAAAUAUUUAAUAAUUUGUGUAGCUAUACUAUUACUGGUUUCAAUAAAUAAUAGUGCCACAACACCAGCAGACAGAUGGUUGUCGGGAAAUGGAGGGAGAGGUACAGAAAUAUUAUUUGCUUCAACCCACAUGACAUGUGUGACAAAUUCAUGUCACAAGGGCUUUCAUCUUUGUAUCUAUCUUACUCGAGACAAUUCAAAUAUUUUUUUUAUAAAGAUUCGUGGUAUUAUUCAAUUCUCUACAGUAUAAGCUACAAAGAUAUAAUUGAAUGUUUGUGUAUUAUAAUUCAAGCGGUUAAGAAAUUAUAUCUGUGAUCAAAUUUUACGUUUUAAAAUUUCAUCCUCCAAUAUUACUUGUAUUUUAAAAAAAAACACUGAAUUUUUAUUUCGUAGGUUUAGAUAGUUGUAGUUCCCAACGAACGGAUGAGAUUGACCGAUAGAGCAUUGUCCCCUCUUAUCUGCUUUACUUUAAUAAUCAGACCACCAUGCACACUGACUGCCCUAAUAAAUCCGCUGGUCUGCAGCUGGAGCUUCAGCUGGAGUGUUGGAGAAGGCAACAAAGCUGCAGCACAAACAGGGUAACAAGGACGCUCACCUUUUUCUAAAGAUAGAGAUAAGACUAAUCACAUCUGACGCUUGUCAUUUAUUUUUGCCUUACUGAAUUACUUUCCUUAUCUCACCAGUUUGUUCCUUUAUUUUUAUAUCCAAUCUCGCUGUCCAUUUCCACUAUGGGGUGCACGUGACCUUUAGGUCCACAAUUGCAUAAAUUCAGAGCUAAAUUAUGUAUAAUUUUUUUAGUAGAAUUAUGUUUGUUAGUUCAGUUAAUUAGGACAAUGAGUUUGUUCUUUUGCAACAAAAUUGAAUCUAUCUCUUUAUAAAUUUGAUUAUUAGAUAAGUUUAAUUGUAGUAAUGGUUUCUGAAUUAUUCUCGUACUUAUAUUUUGGUCACUUAACUCCAAAAAUAGUUUCAAAAGUCCCCCAAUUAUGUAUCAUAUUGCACUAUCCUUCUGUCAAGUAUGUUUAUUUUUCCGUUAAAUUUAUAGAUAAACUUGAAAAUUCAUUCUAAAUGCUUAUAAAAAUGAAAUAACAAAAAAUAAUUAAAUUAAACUAAAAUAAAAUAAAGAAAAAGGAAAGCGAAAUUAAGGGAAAGACAACUCAAUUGCUUCUCCUCUCCUUUACCCAGCUCUGUAAACCAUCAACCAUAUACAUCCAUAAAUGUAAAAUCACAGUUAGUAAUUACCCAUAAAAGAGAGAGAGAGAGAGAGAGAGAGAAUUGGGGGUGGGUGCCAGCGUGAUAGAGAGAGACGGAUUGGGGUUGGGAGGAAUUGGAGGAGGAUGGUGUGGGUUGUGGAAAUGGAAGAAGGGAAAGGUCGUGGAUGAAUUGCUGAACUUACUCUAUUUUUGAUCAAAAAAGUUACAAACUUGACACUAAAGAACAAUAGUGUAAUACUAUACAUAAUUAGGGGAUCUUUGCAAUUAUUUUUAGAAUUAAGUGACCAAAAUAUAAUUACGAUUAUAAUUCAAGUAUCAUUACUACAAUUAAGCCUAUUACACAAAUGGCCAAUCUCUAUAUCUUUUUAACAAUGAAAGAAUGAACAAUAAACGAACCCGUGAGUGAGAUUUCUUGUCUUGGUUGUUUAUUACGUGUGUGGUGGGAAACGUUUGCGUUGGUUGGCGUACUCGCUAAAGACUCAACCACCCAAAGACAAAACUUUGAUAGAAUUAUGUACAACACAAAUAAUUAAUUAAGUUGUAACCCUAAAAAAAAAAGUAAUGAUAACCCAACUCUAAUUUUAUCCACUUAUACUUUGUUUUUUAGUUAUAAAAUAAAAUGUAAGUGGAUAAAAUUGAAAUGAGAAAAUUAGUACUAGAAAGAAACACAACCCACCUGCUGUGCCAUAAAAUCACUUAAAAUAAUUAUUUAAAUAAGUGAUUUUGUAAAAAUAAUUAUUCAUCUUUCCAAAAUCACUCUUAAACAAAUCUUAAUUAUCAAUAAAGAGUAGAUAGAGUAGACCAAAGAGACACCCGUGGACCCAAAACACCUCAAAAUUCAACAAUUUUUUGACAUUAUAUGCAGUGUAGCUCAACAAUCUGUGAUGAAAUUGAAAAGUUUGGAUUGUAGUUCGGAAAUUGGGUAAUUGAUUGUGCAUAACUGGGUCCCACAACAUCGGUCGGGGUUUUAUUGUAUUAUAUGACAGAAAAAUACUAUUGACAUACGCGUUGUUAUGAAGAGUGUUGUGAACCGUUGAUGUAAGUGAGUCUCAAAACCCAUAAACCGGAAAUAUCUUCACAUGAGCGUGUGAGCGAGUGUCCCUAACACGAGAUAUUUAGGUGUGAAAAAGGUUAAGACUUGACGGCCUUUAUCUGCAAAGAGAAACUGAGCCCAAGGUUAGUGGCAGAAUCUAAUCUACACCACCAGCUCCUAGUGUACAAGGCAUGGGUAAAAGUUAAAACCUAAAAGAAAGAAAAGCCUGAAAUGCAUGUGACGAAAGCUUAAUAAGCUGUUUCCACUCACUCACGUUUUUUGUCCCAACGCAAUCAUUCAAAACCACCCACCGCUUCUCCCUUUCUCUGCUCUUUUCCCAUGAUUUCACUGUCCCUGCUAAUAUCUACACAGUAACGCUAUCUCUUCUCUCUCUCUCUCUCUCUCUUUUAUGUGUAUUAAAUAAAAAGUUCUUCCUCUUCCUUCAAAACAACAGGGGAGUGAAAUAAUAGUGGGAUUUGAGAGGCUCGUUGGCUAAGCAAAAUGGGCAUUAUUAUGUUUACCUCUGUUAUGCUUCUUUUCCUUCUGGGUCUCUGCCAUUUAUCCACGGCAGCGGCGGUGGACAAAAACGACGUUGCGAAGCCAAAAACGACUGCAAGCACUACUUACAUCGUUCACAUGGCUAAAUCCGAAAUGCCGGCGAGCUUCGAGCACCACACUCACUGGUACGACUCGUCGCUCAAAACAGUUUCCGACUCGGCCGAAAUGAUGUAUAUUUACAGCAAUGCCAUCCACGGCUUCUCCACCAAGCUCACCCCCGCACAAGCCGAGUCACUCCAAUCCCAACCUGGAGUUCUCUCCGUGCUUCCCGAGUUGAAAUACGAGCUCCACACGACUCGGACCCCGGAAUUCCUCGGACUCGGCCAAACCACCGAGACGAUCCCCCAGUCCAACUCGGAGAGCGACGUCAUCAUCGGAGUCUUAGACACCGGCGUCUGGCCCGAAAGCAAGAGCUUCGACGACACCGGACUCGGACCCGUACCCGGAUCCUGGAAAGGCGCGUGCGAAUCGGGUACCAACUUCAAUUCUUCAAACUGCAAUCGGAAACUAAUCGGCGCCAGGUACUUCGCCAAAGGCUACGAGGCCACGCGGGGCCCGAUCGAGACCUCCAAGGAAUCGAAAUCCCCACGCGACGACGAUGGCCACGGCACCCACACCGCGUCAACCGCCGCAGGGUCGGUGGUCUCCGGCGCGAGCCUCUUCGGCUAUGCCCUAGGAACCGCACGCGGGAUGGCCCCUCGCGCCCGAAUCGCCGCGUACAAGGUGUGCUGGGUCGGCGGCUGUUUCAGCUCCGACAUCGUGGCGGCAAUCGACCAGGCCAUUGCGGACAACGUGAAUGUUCUUUCGAUGUCGCUCGGCGGCGGAAUGUCGGACUAUUUCCGCGACAGCGUGGCAAUCGGAGCUUUCUCGGCCAUGGAGAAGGGAAUUUUAAUCUCGUGCUCUGCCGGAAAUGCGGGUCCUAGUGCCUACAGCUUGUCGAACUCGGCUCCAUGGAUCACGACAGUUGGAGCAGGCACACUGGAUCGGGACUUCCCUGCUUUCGUCAGCCUGGGCAACGGUAAAAACUUCUCGGGCGUUUCGCUCUACCGCGGUAACUCCAACGCAGCCCCAACCGCCUUGACGCCGUUUGUUUACGCCGCUAACGCGAGCAACGCCACGUCAGGAAAUCUAUGCAUGAUGGGGACUUUAAUUCCAGAACAAGUGAAGGGGAAAAUAGUGAUGUGUGACCGUGGAGUCAACGCAAGAGUCCAAAAAGGAGCGGUGGUCAAGGCUGCCGGAGGAGUGGGCAUGGUAUUGGCCAACACCGCCGCCAACGGCGAGGAGCUGGUGGCGGACGCUCAUUUAUUACCGGCCACGUCGGUGGGUCUGCAAAACGCCGACGUCAUCAAGAGCUAUUUGUUUAAGGAUCCGAACCCGACCGCCACGAUAUUGUUCGAGGGGACUAAAGUUGGUGUCCAGCCUUCACCCGUAGUUGCGGCAUUUAGUUCUCGGGGCCCGAAUUCAGUUACUCCGGAUGUACUGAAACCCGAUAUUGUUGCUCCAGGUGUCAACAUCCUAGCUGGGUGGUCCGGGGCUAUAGGCCCCACGGGACUGGCGAUCGAUGCGAGACGCGUGGCGUUCAAUAUUAUCUCGGGUACGUCAAUGUCUUGUCCGCACGUGAGCGGGCUAGCGGCUCUGCUGAAAGGGGCCCACCCGGAGUGGAGUCCGGCGGCGAUUCGAUCGGCGCUAAUGACCACCGCGUAUACAGCUUACAAGAACGGGCAGAAGUUGCAGGACGUGGCUACCGGAAAGCCGUCCACGCCGUUCGAUCACGGCGCUGGACACGUAGACCCUAUAUCGGCCCUCAAUCCGGGGCUGGUUUAUGAUCUAACGGUGGACGAUUAUCUAAACUUCCUCUGCGCGUUGAAUUACUCGGCGACCGAGAUUAACAGCUUGGCGAAGAGAUCGUACACGUGCGACGAGAAAAAGAAGUACAGCGUGAGGGAUCUAAAUUACCCAUCUUUUGCCGUGAACUUCGAGAGCAGAUAUGGAGGCGGGACGACGUCGUCUAACGUGGUGAGGUACACGAGGACGCUGACGAAUGUGGGCCCCUCGGGAACUUACAAGGCGAGUGUGACGUCGGAAAGCCAGUUGGUGAAGAUAUCGGUGGAGCCCGAAACGCUGAGUUUUAGUCAGGCGAAUGAGAAGAAAGGGUAUACGGUGACGUUGAGUGCGGUGGGUUCGGUGCCGGCGAAUGCAGAGAAUAGCUUCGGGAGGGUGGAGUGGUCGGACGGGAAGCACAUCGUAGGAAGCCCAAUAGCAAUAAGCUGGAAUUAGGGAGCAAAUUAAAUUAUAGAGGAAGAGGAGGCAAAUUAGAUUGUAAUGGCUUGAUUUCUUAAGUCAAAGAGUGUUGAGGAAUCAAGAAAUGUUGUAACAUGUAAGAUUAUGUGGUGGUGAUUAUGUUAAUUUCGAGCUAACAAUGGAGGUCAGAAUUUGAGAAAGAAGGACAAUUUGAAAUGGAAUUUUCUGUGCAGUUGUUGUUUGGUAAUAUGUAUAUGCAUGGCUCCUUCACCUCGAGGCUGCUCAGAAUUGAGGAUUGAGAAUUUGGACGUGAGUGGUUUGCAUGGAUGAAGAGGCCCAACGGCCGUAGAUCCACAAAAUAGUGUUGGGCCCAGUCUACGUGAAUCGAGUGUUAGCCACACAUCCAACAUGUGACAUGACAUGAUGUGUGAAACCGCCCCCAUCAUGUUUAUAGGUCCAAACAAAUAAAACACUUCCAACCACAUUAUGUCAUCCGGGACCGAGAUCCUAUUUCAUUGUCCCUUUUUUAGCUUAUCCUAUUUCAUUGUCAUGGAUCGAGCAUGUUACAAUUAUAGCAGCUACCUAGCCACGUAAACCCGGCAACUCCUAGCAAUGAGACACGUUUCCGACACUCUACACGUGGCAAACUUGCAGAGCAAGAGAUAAAACAUGAUAAAAGGACACACGCAGAAGCCAAGAGAAACCGAAGCAAAUCAAUUCUAACUCACGUAAACGAGAAAAAUCGAUAUUCGUAAUGGAGAGUACGCAAGAGCAGCAGCAGAACAGGAAGCCAGCUGCUGGGGCUAGCGAAGCCAAGGGGAAGAUAGAGGAAGGGUUGCCAAUGAAGGACAGUCCGUACCUGCAGUACGAUGACUUGGAGGAUUACAAGCGUCAGGCCUAUGGAACGGAAGGCCAUCUCCAGGUGGAGCCCGGCCGAGGCGCCGGGUCCACCGAGGGCCCCACUGUUUCUGGCGCCAAUGUCUCCUUUCAGGGUGAUCUCUCCGCCACCGAAGCUAUUAACCGCCAAGGAGUUCCUUAAUUAGUUUUAUUUUUAUUUUUCUUCAUAUAUAUAUAUAUAGAGUAUGUAUUGGAGUGGUGUAUCAUAUUGGUAUAGCUACAUAUAUAUACAUACAUAGCAGACAAAAGGGAGAGGAGACGUUUGCCAUAUCUCUUCACCUCCUGAAACAUUAAACGGUAACUGCUAAAUGAGGGGGACGUUUUAUGUAACUUUUUAUUUUACUUUUUUGGAUAUCCCACAAAUUUUCUUUCAAUCUUUUGAUAGUUGACUUGAAUAUCCACAAAGAGAUCUUCGACGAGGGCAUCCAAGUCAAGCUAGGAAGCUCCUCAAAUCAAGGCCAUGUUUUUAUUUUUAUUUUUUUCUAUUGAUUGAUAAGCGCACAACAAUACUGAAAGUGUUUUUUUCUUUUUCUUUUUUUUUCCUUUUUGGGUAAAGAAAACAGUUACAAUCUUGGAUUCUUUGAUCUACCCCAUAAAGUUUCAUGCACAAUUAUCAUACACAACUUUUUUGUUUAUAUACCAUAAGCUUUUUGUAGUUAUCUUAAAUCAAAAUACAAGUGAUAUUUUUUUUAAUACAAGCAAUUAGAGGAGACAGGUUGACACAAAUAUUCAUUGGGUGAUUGAGGGUUUCGAGUUUUUGUUUACAUAAGUGGAGGUGAAAGAGCUCAACUAACUGAGUUAUUACCAAAUAGCAUAUAAGCGAUAUUGAAAAAAGCAGGAUUCGAAAACAACUUCGAAUGCAAAGAUAACUGUUCUUAACAAUAUGAACUACAAACUCCUUAAUAAACUCAUAGCCAAGAGCGGAUCUAUAUAUGGGAAAUCCAUUAUAUUGCUCUAUUAGGCAAAGCUACUUGCGAAUCGUUGAAGUACAAAUUUCACCCACCAAGUGUAUAAACAAAAAUAUCUCAACUGCCAUGCCAAUGUUUUUCAUCAUUCAUAAACGUUUGUUGUACCAUCCCCAUUAAAAAAAAUGAAAGAGUAUAGACACAGAAACUAGAGACAAACUGGCCCUCAGCUAAUGGCCGGCCCCAGAAGCCACAAAGUUCACAGUUCCUCUCUUCACUCCCAAACAAGAAAAAAGAGACACACUAUUCAAUUGGGUCGCCUGCCUCCUUUUCUUCCUUCAAUCUAAUAAUUUUUUUAGUGCUUUUUCGGCACUCCACCUCCUUUAUUUCCCUACCCCUUUUUUUAAAAUAAAAAAAAUUGGUCCAAACCCCUUCUCUUUAUAUUCCACAUGUCUCACUUCCUCCCAUCCUCUAAGCCUCUCUCUCCUCUACUUAUAAUCCUCUCAAAUUCUCACUAUCUUCUUAUGCUUAGUAAUUUCUUAUCACAAUCACAGUGCUUGUAGAAAUGGCAACAAUUGCAGCAAUUACAAACAUUUCUGCUGCUGCUGAAGACAGAGUACUGGAUCAAGAUUCAGUCUCUGAGCAACUAGAGGAAGAAGAAGAAGAAGAAGAAGACAAUGUGUCACUAAGUGAUCUUCCAGUGAAUUGGAAGAAACAAGAUCAAACCCAAUAUCCAAACACUAAAUCUGAGCCUACCCAUGCCAACAUUGAAGCCCAAGAUGAAGAAUUUGAUUUUGGUUAUUCAAUGCGCGGCACCUCUUUUUGGGCUGACACCAAAAUGUGUGCUGCCGAUGAGGUGUUCUUCCAAGGCCAAAUUCUCCCUCUCCGCCUCUCAGUCAGCUCCGACGCCGGAUUUGCCGGCUUAACCAGACGGUCUCCGGCGAGCAGCGUCGGGUUCAGAAGCAAUAGCUGCAGAAGCAGAAUCAGUCCCAAUUCAUCAUUUAGCAGCAACAGCAGCUCCACCACCACCACCACCACCACCACCACUACCACAACAGCAACAAGAGGCAUUGCUUCAAGCUCAAAGCAGAGAAGCCCAAGAAGACCCAGAAACCAAUUCUACACAGAGCCCAGUCCAAAACCCCAAAUCAAAAUUCCAAAUCCAAGACUGGAAAAAGCUGGCAGCCGACGCCAUAAUUCUUCGAUGUGGGAUUUUUUCAGGCUGGGUUUGGUCCGUACGCCUGACAUUGAAUUGCAGGACAUUAACAAGGCACUUCGAAGUAAUAGCAGCGCCAAUAAAAGUUCCGUCAGUCGAAAUAGCAGCGUUAGCAGCACCCACAGCACUAAUUUCAUCGCAAAUUACUACAACGCCACUAGCGCCGGCGGUGUUUUGAAGUCCGAGGACACGAAACAGAACAAACAGAGCAAGCAGAGAAAACAGAGGUUUUUUGAUAGCAUUCAUGGCUGCAAGUGCUCGUUCGAAACUGUGGCGUCUGAUAACCUGAUCGUCAAGAGCAAAUCAUCAAGCAGUGGGAGAAGCAGCUCGAGUCACAUCAAUGAAAGCAGAACAGAAACAGAAUACUCGGCUGCGCAUGCAAUGCUGAAAGAAAAAGUAGAGGUGGAGUUGAAGAUGAUGAAGAAUAAUAAGCAGAAGCAGAAGCAAAAGCAAAAGCAAAAGCAGGCCAUGUCGCAUCACAGAACGUAUGAAUGGCUAAAGCAGCUGUCGCAUGCAAAUUCUCCUCCUCCUCUUCCUGUGCAUGUUUAAAGUUGAUGGACCAUGGUGGGGCUUUAGAUUGUAGAAAAAGCUUUCUUCUCAUCAAGAAAGCUAUUUUGAUUUCCCAUGUAACGUUUGUAGCUUUUCUGAUGAGAACUUUGACUUUGGUAGAACAAUCAUAGGCUCUCUCGCAUGCCUGCAAAUUUGCUUUAUUUCACUAUCAUUUUGUUUUAGCCUUUUUUUUGGGUUUGCUUUAAUUUGAAAUAAUAUUACAUUAGCAUGCAAUGCAAGUUUGUAGUUUGGCCAUGGAUGGAAUGGGGGCUCCAAUAUCAAGAUUAUUCUCUUUCUUGAUUAAUUUUGAAUUUAGCUUUAAUUAGUUGUAUAUUUUUAUGAUUAAUUUUGAAGAUUUAUGUUUAAACUAAUUAUAAACUCAAGCAUGGGUGGGAGAGAUAGUGCAUGCCAUGGCAGCAUAUAGGGUUCAAAGUUGUGGUUGUGAUGAUUAGAGUGUGAAUCUGUAGAAACUUUUUCUGGUGGGUGUGGUCCGUGUGGAGCUGUGGGGUUUAAGAUAUUGGAGAUUUAGAUGGCAUUAUUUUGAAUUUUCGUGACAGUCACAACCCACAAGGGAACACGAGACAGAGAGAGAAAGAGAGAGGUGCUGGGGAAAAGCUAAUGGAAGAGGCAAGCAGGAAUGGAAAGACUCAUGAAGUCCCUUCAAAGUUCAAAAAUAAUGGGAAAAGGGGGUUGUGAUUUUUUUUUUUCUUUUUCCUUUGAUACAAAUGAUAUUUUAUUAAACUAUAGGGAAUGAGAUUCGAAUUCAGGAGCAGAAUGGGAAGUACAUCUGCGCUAACCAAUUUAACUAAGUCCAUAUCUGCAGUUGAGAAAAAUCUUAAUGCAAAACUUUUAUUAUUAUUUGUACAAUUCAUAUAAAAGAAAAAAGACCGUGCAUAACUAACUACUCAUAACUAUUGAAGUCACAAUUCUUUCUCUUUGGUUUGGGGUUUGCCCCCUAUAUUACCAACAAAUUUACAAUUCUUUUACAAGACAAGACAACACUCAUAGGAAAAGAAAAACAAAAGAUGAAAGAUUUUAUUAUUUUAUGCAUAUAUUCUUUUCAUAGUUUUGGGAUUUUGAAGGUCUAACACGGCUCCACUUAAAAAGUAAACAAUUGGGAGCUUAAGAGCAUAAUAGAUUUUGACUUUGAAAAUUAAGUAAUGUUAAACCCACCAAAUUUGUGAUAAAACUUCAUUGACCAAAUAAUAUUUUUUUAAAUUUGGUCUUUUGUUGUUAUUUUUCACUUAUUUUUAACAUAUAAAAUACUAACAUAUGCAUAACGACUCUUCAUCACUUAAGCUAUAAUUCCUUGCUCAUAAUAAGAUGUUAGUUGAUAAACAAACUUAAUGAAUUUAGCAGAAUUGUUGAAACUUUUAUGUGUUUUAUUUAUAAUCAAAUUAUUAAUUUAUGCUGGAAUUCUUUCUUUCAUAAAAAAUUAAUUGAUAUCUGUUAGUUCCAUGAAUACGCCUGCUAAUACUAAAGAGAAAUUAUAUAUGUUACACAAAAUUUUGGUAUAUGAAUUUGCAAUCUUAACUGGGAUGCGUAUAUCAGAGUUUCUUCGAUCUUUCAUGAUUGUUAGUGAAGAUGCACCAAAUUGUCUUAAUUUUGAUGUUAGAUCGCUCUAUUAUUAUAAUGGCCAUUUACAGUUAGUGAUCUUUUUAACUAAAUUAUGAAUGCAAUCCUAAAAUUUAGGGAGAUUUUGGAAAAGCCCAAAGGAGAGAGAAAAUUUUUAAAAGAAGCAAAAAUGGACAAAAUUGCCCUUAUUUAUUUUUUGAUUUCCUAAGAAAUCCUUUACAUUUGCAUGUCUUUGGUUUGAAAGUUGAGAGGUUAUUCCGUCUUUUUUCAAAAAGCUUUGGCUUUUUCCAAAAGUGAAAGUUUUUUUAUGAGUAAAACCUAAAUUUACUUAAAAUUUAUACAGUAAAAAAAUCCCCCCCUAUUUACCAACUUGAUAAUCUCAACAUUUUCUAAAAUAUUUCUCCUUGGACAAAGAAAAAAAUUUCCCAGCACCUAGGGAGAUACCAAAUUCCCAAUAGUGGUCAAAAAGUGCGGGAUUUCUGAAGCACGUCCAUCCAACCGAAGUCUUUCACCUUGUUGAAAUGGAAUGGCCCCAAAUUUUAAAUUCAUACCCAAGAGUCUUUCCAAUUAUUUGAUUCCAGAUUGAUUUCGACUUCUUUGUCUCACAUAUCUGAAAAUUUACGGUAAGAUAUUUGAUUGAUUUCCUAGUGACAUUUUAAAACAUGAGGAGAAAGGCAUGCAGUAACAUUUCAGAAAAUUAAGGAUUUCUUCCGUGACCUUCAACGACAGUUUUUUAGGUCAAGUACUGAGUUUCUGUUUUUUGUGUGAAUGUUGGAGAGGUGGGAAUAUUCCUCUCAUUCAUUUCCUUUCAAACUUUCUCUUUACUCUUGUUGGAGCGGGUAAGGAAUUAAAAUAAUGAAUUCCAAUAAUCAUUAGAUCUAGGGGCCUCCUCUUGUCUUUGAUAACUUACAGUAAGUAAAAGUUUCAUAACCAACAAUUUUAAUAUAAAAAAAAAUCAAUGAAAAAGGAAACAAUCAAACUAGAAAUUCUCUUUUAAACAAUUGGGAAAAAAAAAAUUUCAUCACUAGAUUAUGAAUACUCAUCCUUUUCUAAUGGACGAAUUUUACAUCGAUAAUGUAUAAAUAACAUACUGAUACGUUUUGUUAUUUACAUAUUAUCGAUAAUGACACUGUGUUGACAAAAAAUAAACGUUAGAUAAAAGAUAAUUGUUUUAAAAGACGAACAUUUUACAAAUUGUGAUUCGGUGACCUCAAUUUGCAAAGAGUAAUUAAUGACUCUUUCUUGUUUGUCUUGUCAAACGACAAAUGGAGGAAGUUGGUUUCUUUGUACUACGGAAACACAAAAAUAGUGUUGUUUUUGGACAAAAGAAGAAAGAAUCAAAUUGUUCGUUGGCUGUUAAGAGUUGUUAUGGAUUAUAGGGAGACUUUGGAAAAACCUAAAUUUACUUUAUAUUUAUACACUCUUUAAUAUUAAAAGUCAAAUGAAAAAAAAAGAAAGAAGAAAAACUUGUAAUAAAUCGUGGGAAAAUCAAAUCAAAUGGUCUCCAUCCCCAAUUUCGUGCGUUGUGAGCUCUAUCUAUCUAUCCAUAUAUUCGUGACCAGACUUUUGCUCCCCAAAAUUCCUAAAGAAUAUGAUUCUCUCUCUUUCAUCCGACAAAUCACAAGAUAAGUUUUCUCCGUCCACCUCAACACCACCUUCCAAAAACCGCUUAUUUUGAACCGUUGGAUAUGAUUCAAACUCCCACAUUCCAAAAACCAAAAACCAAGAAACCCGUUUCUCUUUUUAAAAUACGACUUAUAAAAUUGAUCAAAGUCUUUGUCUUUGGUCCUACUUCCCUCUCUCACUCCCCUUCUCUCAACGCAAAAAAAUUUCCCGGAAAUCUUCCAUUCCCCUUUAACACGGAAUCCCCACGUCUCUCUCUUUUUAUUCCAACACCAUCCAUCCUUAACCACCAAAACCAAACCAAACCCCACGCAUUUUCUUUCUUUCUUUCUUUCAUAGUUUUUCCCAAAAACCGAAGUGAAAGAAUCUAAUAAGUAACCAGAAAACCAGAGAGAACCCAGUUGGACAAUGAUGUUGGAGAUGUGUCGGAGGCCAUUGGAGAAGUGCUUUGGAGGAGGAGAUGGUGGAGAUGGGCUCCUUUGGCACAUGGACCUCAAGCCCCACUCUUCUGGGGACUAUUCGAUCGCAGUGGUUCAAGCCAAUUCGGCGUUGGAAGACCAGGGACAGGUGUUCACAUCCCCUUUCGCCACGUAUAUUGGGGUCUAUGAUGGCCAUGGUGGCCCUGAAGCUUCUCGCUUCAUCACCAAUCGCCUCUUCCCCUUCCUUCACAGUAUGUAGUACACCCUCUAGCUCUACAGAAACACCCAACCCUGUUUUUGUUUUUACUUUUUAGCUGUUUAUUUUCUUGUAUAUUCAGUAAUUACAUUUCAAUUACAAGAAGAAUUUUAUGUCUUGAGACCAAAAAGACCUCCACUUGACUUAUAGAUCAUACAGAUUUGCUUAGCUCAAGUAGCUAUUCAACUUUGAAGAAAUUCAAACCAACAUAGAACAUGCUUUAUUGUGUUCUUAUUCUAUUGUUUUUCCUUUGACUUAAUAUUUUCAUCAAUUAAUCAGAUGGGUAUUUUUCUUUGGGUUAUUAUUAUGAUAAAGUUCACAACUUUUCUUCAAGAUGAAAGGGAAAGAUUUUUGUUUUUAUUUAAAUUGAGUUGGUUUUUUAUUCUUCAGAGUUUUCAAUUGAGCAAGGUGGACUGUCAGAGGAUGUGAUAAGGAAGGCAUUUGAUGCAACUGAGGAAGAGUUCUUGGACUUGGUUAAGGCAUCAUGGCCUGUCCGGCCGCAGAUUGCUUCCGUAGGUUCAUGUUGUUUGGUUGGCGCAAUUUCAAAUGGUGUUUUAUAUGUUGCUAAUCUCGGAGAUUCGAGGGCAGUUCUUGGCCGGAGAGCAUCAGAGGGGCAGGCGGUUGUGGCAGAGCGAUUGUCUACAGAUCACAAUGUUGCAGUGGAGGAAGUGAGGAAGGAGGUUAAGGAUCUUCACCCUGAUGAUGCACACAUUGUGGUGUACACUCGUGGAGUUUGGCGAAUUAAGGGCAUUAUUCAGGUACAAAAUGUGGCUUCUUUUACUUCAUUGAUCCUCUGGCCCGUCCGUAUUUCUGAAUUGAUUAACAUAUCUAUUUUUGACUUAUGUUAGGAGCAAAUUUAAUGUGUCCUGGAAUAUCAGAUGACUAUAUUGAUAACAGUUUGAUGGAAUUUAUUUUUGGCCUACUGUCUUGUCAUGAUGGUAAUAACGUUAGUACUGAUGCUUUUCCCCAGUAUGUACCAUAUUAUGGAGUACUAAACUAGAGAGUUAACAAUUUUAUUUUAUUUUUCCUUUGGGGAAGUUCAAAAUAUUUUCAUUUUUAAGGGUAAGUUGUUUCAAAUCUGAAUGCGAGGUUUUGUUCCACGAUGAAUUAGAAUCUGGGGGAAAAGGGGUGGAUUUGCCUUUAAUAUGUUAUUUUUCCCUGCAGUAAUACCAUACUGUUCCAAAGCAUGAACCUCGUUCUUGAAAGAUGUGAUCCUGCUCUGCUUAGGUGCAUUGUUUUGAAGAUAACUCUUCAAGGAAUAGAUUCUUACAAUCAUUCUUUCUUGAUGUCUAUGAAGGAAAAGUCCACAAUUUGAUGUGGAUAUGGUAUUCUCCCUUUGUUUAUCGAUAUCCUUCUAUCUUCACGGGUUUUGCCUCUUUGGCAACUUUCCAGCCAGCUAAGAAUUUGAGUAUUUUAAGCAAAUGGGGUGAUGGUUCAUAGAAUGCACAUGAAAACCUAAAAAUUAGGGUAUUGUGAGUCUGUGACUAGUCAAAAUCACAGUUGAGCUGGUUAUGUGUAUGUGACCUUUUUGACACUCUCAUAAGCAAUUAAAAGUCAUGAUAAUUUUAAUGCCCAUUACAGAAACACACAUAAAGAUAUGAUGAUGCAUGCUCCAACAGAGCCCCUACGAUGAAAAUUUAGUUGUGUGGUAAUCAGUUUAUAAAUCAUAGAUACAUUGUAAAAGUGAAUGUAUUAUUCUUCAGAGUAGUUGCUUUACCUCUUUCAUAUUUGAAUCUGCCUGUGAUCUGAUGAAACCUCUCUUUUGUAGGUGUCAAGGUCAAUUGGUGACGUCUACUUGAAGAAACCCGAGUUUAAUAGAGAUCCGCUCUUCCACCAUUUCGGUAUACCUGUUCCUUUAAAGAGGCCUGUUAUGACAGCAGAACCCUCGAUAUUAGUUCGGAAGUUAGAGCCACAGGACAUGUUUUUGAUAUUUGCAACAGAUGGUCUCUGGGAGCAUUUGAGUGAUGAAGCAGCUGUUAAAAUCGUCUCAAAGAAUUCAAGAGUUGUAAGUCCCUGGCAAAAUUUAUCUCUCUGUUGGUGUUCAUUUAUAAAACUGACUAUAAAAGUAUAAGAUAUUAAGAGUUGCUUCAAUUUUAACUACAGGGAAUAGCAAAGCGGUUGGUCAGAGCUGCGAUUGAGGAGGCUGCAAAGAAAAGAGAAUUGAGAUAUGAGGACAUAAAAAGAAUCGAAAAGGGGGUAAGGCGCCAUUUCCAUGAUGACAUCACCGUCAUCGUGAUAUUCCUGGAUCAUUCACAAGUUUCCCCAAAUGCUAGUUUGACAGAUCCGAGCCUCUUCAACUGCACCAGUGUUCCUGUUGAUAUCUUCUCCAUGAACGGCGAUGAAGCCGAUGUAUCACUCCACACCAUUCCCUGAGAAUAUCAGUUGCACAAGAAAAUGCACCAUUGUGUAAAUAAAAUGAGAAUUUAUAAGUAGGUGCAGCAGGCUGCUAGAUUUUACAGGAAGGGUUUGGUUGUGUACAUAGUUUGGUGGCAGAUUGAAGGUGCUGUUGACUUCCCAGCUCUGAGCUUUGACCUCAUUUUCAGCACUUUUCUCGUCGGCGUAUAAUUUGUUGUGAUUUACACAUGAUGUAUAUACUGGGAUUUAUUUAUUGAGAUUAAAAUUUGCAACUCACAGUCCUGAUAAUUUGAAAAACUUUAUGUCAUUAUACAACUCCUUUCUUCUUCCCCUUUUUUCUUUUGCCCCCUUAAUAUCUUGUGCGAAUGAGCUUGAAUACGUGUUCAUCUUUCACCGACCAACAUUUAAUAACUAUAUAUUAAAAAUUAUGGUAAAUUACUCAAAUGGUUCUUAAAUUUAUACUUGAUUUAUAUUUUGGUCCCUCAAUUAAAUUAUUCGUUCAAAUAGUCCAUCAACUCUAUAUUAUUCGCUCCAUUGGUCCCACCGUCUAAUUUUUUGUUAGAUUUAACCAAUUUGCCCUCAUAUUUAACGAAAAUAUUGACAUAUGUAACGGUAGGACCACUGGAACGAACAAUAUAGAGUUGAUAGACCAUUUGAACGAAUAAUUUAAUUGAGGGAUCAAAAUGUAAAUUAGGUAUAAGUUUGAGGACCAUUUGAGUAAUUUACCCAAAAAAUUAUACAACUGGGAGGGAGAAGGGGCUGCCAGAUUUCAACAAAGUGAGGGAGGAGAGAGAGAAAGGAGAUAGGUUUUUAUUUAAAAAUUUAAUAUUAUUUCUUAAUAUUUAAUUACACUUAAGCUAAAAAGGUGGACUGUGCAUUUGUCACAUCAUCACUUAACAAAAGACCAAACAGUCAAAUAGAAGGAACAUGUAAAUUGGUCGAAUUUUAAAAUAUUAGGGGGUAAAUUGACAAAAUUAAACCUCAGUGGCCCAUUUCAUGAAUGACCCCAAAUCUUAGGGGAUAAUGAUAUUAGCCCAUUAAAAAGAAUACUACUAUUUCCACCCAUCUGUCAUAUUUUCCCACCCACUUUAUCUUCAAACUUUUAAAGACAAAUUUACCCAUUUGUGAAAUGACUUCUGUACCAUAUCACUUCCUCAAGUCAAAGCGUAAUUCCUCUCAUCUUACUUUUCUAUGUUUCUUUGCGUUUACUCUGUCUUGUGAACUAUUCGAAGAAUUUUCUAGGUGGGUUUUCUUCUUUACCCAAAAGAAAAAAAAAACUAAAAUUUGUAGGUUCGUUUUGGAGUUUCUAAAAUUGGGAGGUGUUUUUUCGUGGGAUGUUUGUGGUUCAAUUUCAGUAAAAAUUUUGGCUUGUUUGCUUGAAUUUUUUUGUUUUUUUGUUUUGUUUUGGGGUUAAGGCUACAGAGAGAAUUAAGAUUUGUGGUUUUGGUAUUACAAGAAUAUGAGCUUGGAGCGAGUGCUGGUUUCUAAAGCUAAUUGGAACAAAACUAGGGUUGUUUUAAGAUUGGUUUUGGAGUUUUUGGGUAUCCCUUGAAGCUUUGGAAUGGUUUGACUUUGUGGGUAUUUAGCAGAAGUGCAUAUAUUUCGUUUGGUGAAAUUGUAUUUGAGAUUCAAGGAGUUGGAAAGUUUUAUUUGAGCUUUGUUUUGAAGUUCUAGGCAUUUGUUUUGAAACUUAUGCGAAUGGCUUGACUUUGUGGGACAUUGGCGAAAGUUCAUUGAUAGGGUGUGUGUGUUAGUGUUUUCUUCAAAAUGAAUUAAAGGGCAUUUUAGGAAUAAUGGUGGGUGGAGAAAUAGGACAAGGAGGUGGAAAUAGUAGCACUCAUUAAAAAUUAUACAAUUAGGUUCUUUGUUUUCAUCAAACCUAGUAUAGCAGUGGCGUGAUCUUAUCACAAGGUUCUUUACUGGCAAGUAUUCCAUGUGAACCAUCGGUCCACCGCCUUCAAAAUGUUCAGAAAAAACAAGACAGUGACGUACAACAAAACCCAACAAAAUUAGAUAUUAAUUUAGGGAUAUGUUCUUAAAAAAAAUCUUAAGUUAGAAUAUAUAUAUAUAUAUAUAUAUAUACAGAGAGCUUCCAUUGAUGGAUCCCUCAAAUAAGCUUAUUUGAGGGAUACCCCUUGUAGGCCUCACUCCGAAUUGUAUUUCAUUAAUCCAAACUGUCUAUUUUGUACAUACUCAUUCAAAGAUCAUCUCUACAAAAAAUCACUUGAAUCAGAUAUCAUUUGACCACUCAAGAAUAACCUAAAUUGGGGUUAUUUGGGCAUAAAUCCCCAAAUUGGCACAAACAAUACAAGAAUCCUAGGAGAGUGGCAUUGUGACAUAAUAUACUUCCAUAAUGUUCUUUUAUUUUUCCCUUAACAUGUACCUCUCACAAAUUUUCAAAUUUGGUUUCUCUUGUUGGAUUGUGUUAGUGAACUAUUAUCAACCGUUGAUGUAAUAUAAAAUUCACUAACCUAACAAAAGCAAAUUCCUUAGCAUAGCUAGAAGUAUAAUACUUUGUAUAAUCAUAAAGUAUACAUAUAUAUACACACACACACGCACACAUACACAUUUUGUUUACAAAAAUUAAGAAGAAAAAAAAGUAUAUGAUUCAUGAAGUUUAGUAGGUAUGAUCGAUCCACGGUGGUCUAGCUAGGAUGCGGGCAGGCCCCAACUCUACAGUAGAUUACGUAAUGAAUGUAGUUGUGGUGAGUUGAAGCUUGCCCUCGUGGCAGGGCAGAUGUUGUCGUCCCCCGCAUAGCUGCAGCCCGCGGAGUUUAGACUCGCAUUUAUCAUAAAGAGAACUGGUGCACAAGUACCAAUAACAAUCACAAUUCAUAUAUAUAACCCUUCUAGAAAUGUUGAUUAAAUAUCUCUAACUCAUUACCAUACUUGUGAAUUGUGAUCACUCCAACAACCACCGUUGAUUUUCAUUGCAUUAAUUUGAUUUGGUUUUGGAUUUUUUUAAAAAAGAAAUAUUGGCGUAAAGGACUUAUAAUUUAAGUAGUUAAAGGGCAUUUACCUAUACAUAUUCUAAGUCCUAUGUUCGAUUUCCUCCUCUCCAAUUUCAUUUUUUUUUUUUUGUGUUGAGGUGUAUAGUGGCCAAAAUAUCAGCUAAUAAUUGCUGAUUAUUUUAGGUCCAUCGAUGAAGAUAGCGAUAUGAUAAGUUUGUUUGUUUGGAGAUCUUAUACUAAAGAGCUGAAUAUUCAACAGACUCGACGUUGUAUUAUUGUCCCAAAACAAACGCAGAAUAUUCCAAAUUUCCUUUUCUGGAAAUAUUCCAACUUUCAACGAGUGAGAGAGAGAUGUAAAUAGCCUUCAUACAAUGUAUUGGUCACCAUUCAAACCGUACACACAUCUCGAACGAGGGAUUUGUUUUUAGUUACAUUUCUGGAAUGCCAGUUUCAAAUUUUUAGUUACACAUUUGUGAACAGAACUAACAAACUAAACCAAUUGACUUGCCAUCUUCCUAGUUUUUUUUUAAAUAUUCUUUAUUCUAAAAUACUAAUUCAUUGUUCCACCAUGCCCACUAGUACCAUGUCUCAUGGUCCUAUAAGCCACUUGAACUAUGAGUCAAUGUCAUAGAUAUAGAAAUACAUAAAAAUAAUUCUUUAUAAUAUGAAAAAUAUUUGGCUCUUCGCAUGUAAGGAGUCGUUACAGUCAAAUUACAAUCAGACAUGUAUUCAUAAACUUUUUUUUGUUUGUAAUUUUAAUAAUUAGAGUUUAGUUUCGCAUAUCAUAUAUUUUGGAUGUGAAUUUUUCAUUUUCUAAAAUACACAUUUUCAAAGUGCUAUAGAGAUUCAAACUUAAUAUUACAAAUUUACGGGUGAAUGCCUUCUUCAUUCGGCUAGACCCAAUUGACUGCUGUAACGACAAAUAGCUCCUCAAGUUGCCAAGUAGCGUCCUAGUCAAAACAAUAAAUGGUACGCACAGUAAGCUCCAGUACACGAUCAACACCCGAUAAUUGCUCUCUCACUGAUCUUAUCACCAGGUACUCUUUUAUAUGUGGUACUAGCUACACGCUUGUCAACCAACCCAACAAGGACCAGAGAGGGGGAGAGCCACCGAGCCACCGAACCAUCGAGAGAGCCAUUUGAAAUGGGAAUUGUAGAAGAAGCUCACAACUUGCGGGUCCUGGGCUCAGGCCAGCAGGUCAUAGUCCUAGCCCACGGCUUCGGCACCGACCAGUCGGUCUGGAAGCACCUCGUCCCCCACCUCGUCGACGACUACAGAGUCGUCAUGUACGACAACAUGGGCGCCGGAACGACAAACCCCGAAUACUUCGACUUCGAGCGCUACGCCACCCUCGAGGGCUACGCCUACGACCUCCUCGCCAUUCUGGAGGAGCUUCGGAUCGGGUCUUGCAUCUUCGUUGGCCACUCCGUCUCCGGCAUGGUCGGCGCCAUCGCCGCCAUCACCCGCCCCGACCUCUUCACCAAGCUCGUCAUGGUCGGCGCCUCUCCUAGGUAAGAUCCGCGGCCAUGAAUUAAUUAACCGGUUAUCUUAGUCAAUUAUUAUACAAUUCCGCUCAAGUCCCACAAACCCAAAUUUACCUUUUUAUUCCAUUAAUAAUUUUGUUUUCUUUCCGGGAAAGUGGAGGGCAACAGUGUUCUGCUGGGUUGGCUGAAGUGGAUCCAUCAAUCUAAUUAACUAAUCAAGUCAAUUAUUAGAUAAUUAACCUACAGUUCCACAAAACCCAAUUUCUUAAUCUCGAAAGAUGCAUGACGAUUUGCUGGGAGUGGAUCCAUCAAUCUAAUUAACUAGUUAACCUAAAACCCCACAAACCCAAUUACUUAAACCUUUGGAUUAAUAUAUUAGUUUAUCCGAUCUUGCUCAAUCAUUUUUAUGUUAUUUAAUUCCACUUCCAAAACCCAAUUAACCAAUUUAUUAAUCAAACCCAAACAAUCUUUCAUUCAGGUAUCUCAACGACGUCGACUACUACGGCGGGUUCGAGCAGGAAGAUCUGGAGCAGCUGUUCGAUGCCAUCCGAUCCAACUACAAGGCUUGGUGCUCUGGUUUCGCACCCAUGGCGGUCGGCGGGGACUUGGACUCGGUGGCGGUCCAGGAGUUCAGCCGGACCCUCUUCAACAUGCGCCCCGACAUUGCCCUCAGCGUCGCCCAAACCAUCUUCCAGAGUGACACGAGACAAAUUCUCCAUCUGAUCACAGUGCCCUGCCACAUUUUGCAGAGCGUAAAAGACCUCGCUGUCCCUGUCGUCGUCACAGAGUAUCUGCACCAGAAUCUGGGCGGCGAGUCGAUCGUGGAGGUCAUGUCAUCGGACGGUCAUCUUCCGCAGCUGAGCUCGCCGGAUAUUGUUAUCCCGGUGAUGCUCCGGCACAUUAGAUAUGAUAUUGCGGCGUAAUUGUUGUCAAAAAAUAAUUAUGAUAAUAAUAAUAAUAAUGUAGGUGGUGGGGCUAUGGCUAGAUUGGGAGUGAUUAGUUAGCUUUGGGACGAUAGGUUAUUUGUGGUGUGGACACGGGUCGCUGUCGUGUUCAAAAGUCGUGGACCACGUCAUGUGAAGGAAUGGGUGUUAUUGUGACACGUCGCGCUUUUUUAGUAUGAAAGCUUGGAUUCAUGGUGUUUAUAUAAAUUAUAAUCAAGCUUUUAUUAUUAAGACAUGCUGCAAGACAUGGAAAAUUUCUUAAAAUCAGUCCCCUUUAUCUUGUGCGAAGAUUUUCAUGGUGUGAACACGUGUAUCGUAACAAUCGUUGUUCCUUUAAAUGCGUUCAAACUUGCAAAACAUGGUGUGAACAUGUGUAUUGUUUCCGUUCCUUCAAAUACGUUCAAACUUGCAAAUUCGGACUCUGUGUCCACGCUAAUUCAGAAUAUGUCCACUCCUUGCAUUCGAGUUCGAUUCAAAACAUAUAUUGAUGAUGGCAGGCCAAUCGGUCACGAAAUCCUAAAAAUCACAGCAAUAAUGCCAACAAAAUUCAGCCCAAAAAUCACAACAUUAGUAUGCAAAUUCCAGCGUAAAGAAGAGUACUUGGUAGAGUUGUGUUACCAUUUGGAAAAGUGAUCAAUUGCUUAACAAGAAGCUGCAUACACAAUAGUUAUCAAAGGCAGGUGACGUUGCUACUGUUUUUCUUAAAGAAAACAACCUUUUUUGUGUUUUUUUCAUUCUUUCUAAACACAUGGGAGAAAAGUGUUGUUUCAUUUUUAUUUAUUUUAAUAUUGAAAGAGUUUUUCUAUUUAAACUCCAUAUUUUUUUUGUUCAUCCCAACAAUUAAAUCAUUAAGCUCUUAAGUUUUAUUACUGUGUAAAAAUACAAAAAAAGUCAUCCAACUUAAUACUUAAUAGUACAUCUAUACACACAUUUCACACACUUAGAAUAAACAUCUAUGAGAGCACUGCCAGAAAUUACGUCCAAACAGUACCCAUAUUUGGUGACCAGGCCAUGGAUUUGCUUGCUUAAUUCCAAUGUAAAUAAAUCAGUCGAGACAUCAAGAAGGCUGACGAAUGUCAAGAGACUUGGGUGGAGCAAUCUAAGCCUCAUCUUAUUGAAAAGAUCCAGCGCUUUAGACAUUUUAUCACGUCUUCAGUAACCUUCAAUCAUUGCAUUGUAAGAGACCACAUUAUGAUCAGCCAUUGAAUCGUGUAGUUGUAAGAGGUUGACUAAUGCUCGCCUUUUAGUUUGGAGGUUUUGGGUUGGAAGACAUGGGCCUUGUUGUGACUGAAGAACAGGGCAAGCAAAGGUGGAGAAGUUGAGGGUCUGUGUCUUUGUGAUCUUCUUCUGGCAAUGUCUUAGGUGCAGUGCAAAGUUUCUCUCAUAUCAUAGGAGAGGAUGCUCUAUUCAAAUUGUAUGUGUUUCCUUUCUUUUAUAAUAUUGGUACAUGACAAAGGGAUGGCUGAUUGUAGUUUGCACCCAAGUUAUACUUUGAUCUGUAUUAUUGGUUGACAACAUUGUGAUUACUGGUUAACAUAGUUUACUCAACAAAUUUUUUUUAUUAUUAUUUAUUUAUUUUUGCUUUUUGUCUUUUUUUUUUUUUUUUUUUUUAACAAGCGAUAUUGAGGAAAGGGAGAUUUUAAUAUGGGACCUUGAGUGCAAGGCAAGAGUAACUGCUUCUAACCACUUGAGCUAGCUACAAAUUUGGUAGGAUGUAUUUGCUGGCAUUGCUCUCAUAGAUGUUAUCCAACUUAAUAAUAAAAAAAUAAUGCUGCUACACAUUUGACAACAGUGUUUUUAUCUCUUUAAGUAAUGUGAGGUUGAGGUGAACUUAGAGUGGUGAAGGGUACGAUAACGGGGUGUGGGGUGUGAGGUUGAUGAGUUUUUUUAAUUUUUUUUAUGCUGGGUGUGUAUUUAGGGGUAGUUUGGGAAGAUAGUGGGGUUUUCUUAGAAAUUGUGAAAAUUUGAAUUAAAAGUUAGGGUGAACUUAGGGCCAGUUUGGCAUUGCUGUGCUGUGAAAAUAAUCGCUGUCAGAUUUGCUGUGAGAGAAAUCAGUUGUGAGAGAAAGCAGUUUAGCGUUUGGUAAACUUUUUGUUAUAAGUGUUGUUUGUACAAUAAUCAGCUUUUGAGUGUUUGGUAAAUUUUUUUGUAAAAGUGCUAUGAGCUGUGUAUAAUGACUAAAAAGGGCAUUAUAUUGAAAUGACUUUUCUGUUAAAGUGUUUGGUAAAAGGAAAAGCACUUUCACUUUAACGUAUAUAAUUUUUUUGUAUUAAAUAUGUUUCCAUCACACCGUAAAAAUUAUUUUAAUUAUAAAAUAAAUAAAGUAUUCAAUUAAAAAUAAAUAUAUUGUCAAUAAUAUGGUCAUAACAAAAAUUAAAGUAGUCAUAAACAAGCAAUCAUAUACAUUUCUAACCAGAUGAACUCAUUAAACUUGCGGCUAUAUGAUUUCUCAAUGCCUCCAUUUCUUGUGUUACAGGACCAUCUUCUUGUUGUGCAUCAACCUCUCUCUCUCAAUCUCUUCAUCUUGAGUACCAUUUAGGUCAUCUUCACUUUCAUCAAAAUGACAAUCACGUUUCGCAUGUCUUCUUAUAUAGUUAUGAAGUGUCAUGGUUGCAAUAACUAUUUUGACUUGUUUUGCAAAAGGAUAACUAGGCAUGUCGCGUAAAAUACUCCAUCUCUUUUUGCAUACUCUAAAAGUGCGUUCAAUAACAUUUCUCAGGGAAGAGUGUGUAUGAUUGAAUACCUCUUUAUGACCCAUCGGUUGAACACCCCUACGAAAAUAAGGAAGAUGAUAUCUUUCACCUUUAUAUGGUCCUAAGUAGCCUCUCAUUUGUGAGUAUCCCGCAUCUACUAGAUAAAAUUUUUCUAAAAAAAAUUUAAUAGAUUAUUCGCAAUGUAAAAAAAUUUAAAUAUAAAUUAUAUGAAUUUCUUUUUCUUUAGAUAGAAAUAGUACUAUUUGGAGGUUUAGGAAAAUUUAAACUUUGAUAACGUAAAGCCGAUAGAAAUAUCCUUGUGUCAUGGGCCGUGCCUUCCCAUCCGGCACAUGCAAAUAUAAAUUGCAUGCAGCCAUCACAUUUUGGGUAGGUAUCCCCUUUCUACCAAUAAAUAGUAUUUUAUUAGAAGGAGAUACUACAGCUUGCACAUAAAUACCAUCUAUAACACCAAUACAAUCCUAUAAGUGAUAAAAAGACAAACAUAAUAUUAAUUAUAACAUUAUAAAACAUAGACAAAUAUUUAAUAGUAGAUGCAAUAGUUACCUUGAAAUGAGGCAUAUAUCUAGAAUCAUGUAGGAUUUCCUUUGGAGUGUUGUUAAACGCAUUUUCCAAUGGUUUAAUUACAUCCACAGCUAAACGACAUACAACAUCAAGUAAGAUACUAAAAUAUCUGCUCACAGUCUCACCAGAAUGUUGAAAGCGAUCUUGUGCUUGCCUAUUUGCAGAUCCAUGUCCUAAGAUGUUCAAGAACAUCCCUAACAUCUCAACAGCACUCAUUCUUCUUGAACCCUUUAAUCCAUAAUUGUUUUGCAAUUCAUCACACAAUCUUGUAAAUACAUCUUUAUCCAUCCUAAACAUAUUAUGGCAACGACUUUCAUUUCCUUGUAACACUCCCAUCGACCAAAUAUUCCCUGUUUGAUGGUCAUUCAUACAAGGGGUCUUAUGAAUAUAUUUCACGUAAUAAAGUUCAAUAAGACGAGCAGUGACAUAUAUAAUUUGGUUGAUCUCCUUCUCAUCUUCUAGAAUGGACAUGUUCUAAAAUAACCUGCAAAUGUGUUUAUUUACUUCAAAUAUCAUUUUCACUGUGCAUGCAUGUUUAAAAUAUCACUAACAAAUUCAAAUAAAUGAUCAUCCAGCAUUAAUUCAAAUAUCAAUCACAAAUUCAAAUAAAUUAACAACAUAACAACGAAACAUAAAUUAAAGCUACUAAACUAUCAAAUUCUAGUCUUUAGCUAACUCAUGAUUAAGAAAUUGAAGUUUGAGGUCAGGAUCUUCCAUGACAACAAACAUCUCUCUCUUCUCUUGAGCACAAAACAAUUUAGUUGCAAACCACCACAACUUGUUACCACGCUCUGCCCCAGGUAAAGUUGCAACAUCUUUCAUCACUUCAGCAAUACUAGUUCCUUGUGAAACUAUAUUAGCCAUUGAUGUUCCAGUACUCCUACUCUCAACCACCUAAACAAGACGUUCAAUUUGUAGUGAUAAUUUUGCAGCACCUCCUAUUUUUCCCCCUCCUUUACCUUUCUUCUCAUUAUUAUCUUGAAUUUCAAGUGAUUGAUUAGUUCUCUUUUUUGGCACAUUGUUUGUAGUUUGAGUGGUUUUAAUUGGAACAGACUCAUUCGAAUCACCGUUAACUUCAAGUUGGUUGACAUCAUCAUCACUUUCAAUUGGAAGUACACCAGAUAAAGGUGCCCAAGAAUGAUUACCAGUGGCUGUGACAUUCAAAAACAUCAUAUCUAACUUCUCCUCAAUCUCAGGACUAAUACCCUCAAAUAGGAAUCUUGCAUAUUUGGGUUCUGCCUGCAUUAUGACAUAUACAAAUAUUAUAAUGAAUUUUUAAACAUAGUUAAAAAAACAUGGAUAUUUAUACAAUAUUAAAAAUAAGAACAAAAAAUUAAAAUACCUUAAUUUUAUCUUGCCACCAUUCCUCAGAUGCAUCAACGGUAUUCUUAGCGACAUUCCACCCAAGACCAGUUUCCUUCCCUUUUAGAUCUUUCCAUAAUUUCCAUUCUUUUUUUAGUAAAUCCCACUUGUUUUUCAAUUGUAAUUUUUCAUACGGUCUUCCUAUCUAUUUACUAAUAUUUGUAACCAACCUUGCCCAUCCAACCUUAUUAAAGUGAGUACCGGGACGAUUGCCUAGAUCCACCUCCUUGAUACAAAGGUCAAUGAAGAUGACUAUAGUUUGAGCAUUUCACAAUGCUGACAAUUUUCGAGAUCCACUUGCAACAUUUUCAGUUGUGGUGAAGUUACUAUUCUUCUUUGACAUCUUAUUGCAACAAAGACAUUAUAUAUAAGCACAAAAGAAAAUAAUAGGAAUACAAGCAAAUUACAAAACAAACCAAACUAGCCACAACUCAAAUGCAGUGCAUAGAUGUUUAUCUAAUCUAAACAAUGCAUAGAUGGUUCAAACUAGCAAAAAGAUAAAAUUAAGGAGAACUAUGAAUACAACUUUGCUAAUAAAAAUUAAAGAGGAAAGUUUCAUACUGUGAAAUAGGUAGGAAUUUUCGGAAUCACAAUCUUGAAUUGCUCAGGAGAUAGACCCUAUCACAUAAUUAAAGUAAAAAUUGGGUAAACCAAAAUGUCAAAAGUAAUCUUACAAUAAACUACCAAGUAAAUGUAUUCCAGCAAUAAAAGUUUCCAAAACAGUGACCACAUUUUGGAAAGCAGACUCUGUGUGAAACGACCCAGUGAUAUAAAUUAUAAUCCAAAAGUCUCAUACUCUCCUUCAAUCAUUUUGUUUUUUAGGAUACGAAAUACAGAGUAUUUCAUAAAUAUCCAAAUUUUUAUUUACAUUGCUUGUGGAAACUAGGCCCUUAAAACAAGAAACAACACCAAACAAAGUCACUACCAUUUUAGGAUUUAGGGUUGAAAGUCACUAUGAUUUGAAAUGCCUACAAAAAUGUCCAAAGUUGAACUAUACGCCUCAAGUAAUCCCAGCCCCAAACUACCACUUACUAUUCAAAGGCUUUGUCAUUCAACUCUACAAAAUAAACCAAAAGGUUGCCAUCACAAUAAAAUUUCAUCACACAGCUUUCUUCCCCCCCUCAGACACACAUGAAAAUAAAACAAGCUUUCCUCAAAAGUUUCAACGAUAUGAUCAAAGCACAUUAACUAUUAAUGACCCAAAUAUCUUUCAAUCAAAUAUUAUAUAUAUCAUAUAGGGAAAUGUUUGGGAUAGAAAUAUUUCAAUUGUUCAGGCUUGCGAAGCUGAUAUUCAGCAGGAAAGUUUGUAUGGACCCCUACAUUAACUAAGGUACAUGAAUUAGUUUGGAAAUACCAAAACUCUUCUAUAAUUAACAGUACCAGAAAUAGAAAGCCUCUUGAAUUGGCAACACUUCACUUUCUUUAUCUCUAUCUCCAAACUAAUAAAAAGAAUUCACCUAACCAACUUGCAACUCAAUAAGAUACUAAAUAACAGUGGCUCACUACUGAUAUAAAAAUUCAUCUAGAACCCAAAAUUCCAAACUGAAAACAUAACCAAUGAAUCAAUAAUAGUUUUCCAGGAUACAAAGAUUAGGAAGAGAAACAAAACAAGACCAUAACAAAAUCUAUCAUAUUAACACAAAUGCAAGCAUUUCAAGUACAGUGAAAUAUAAAAAUAUUUAAAACCACCGAGAGGUUCUUUAGAGCUUUAUGCUUUGAAGGUUAUUACCAAGAUAAUAUAGAAAAUUCCAAGUAAAAAUUAGAGCUUUAUGCUUUGGAGGUUUGACCCCCUCGAAAUCUAUUUGCCCAAAUAGAGAGAAACAGCAAGAGAAAGAGUGAGUAAGUGAGGAAAGCUGUGAUAUUUUUUGCAAGUGAGACAAACAGUAACAGAGCAAGCGAGAUAAAUAGUAAUAGAGCAACAGACAAAGACAACAGGGAUGUUUUUCCAAGUGCGUUUUUGCUGUUGGUUUUCUAUAUCACGUAUUGGCAUGAGAAUGACAUUUUUCCAUUUGGGAAGAUAGUUAAAACCCUAGAAAUUAAAGCGAAAGAGGGACGAUUGAAAUUGAAAUUGAAAAGAAAUAAACAUAAUAUGCAUCUCUUACCUGAGUCUUGUGGCUCAGCAGUGCGCUUCAAUUGAUCCAACAAGAAAAAACUGUAGGCAGAAUGGAAGAGAAGGAGAGGAGUGGGCCCUGUGAAGAGAUUGUGAGAAGAAGCAACGUGAUGUGAGGGAAGGAGGAAGAGAGAGCGUGAAAAUAGAUUGGGGUAUUUUCGAAAGUUUGUAAAGUUCAUUAAAACCCAACACUUCUCAAAUCUGAUUACCGUAUAAUCAGAAAAUGAAAGCAGGUCAUUAGCUGCUUUUAUUUAUUGCUUUCUCUCACAACAAUUUUUAACAAUAAGUGAUUUUCUUAUAGGUUACCAAACGGGUUGGGCUUCCCGAAAUUUUUUAAAAAUCACUUAUUACCUCAAAUAAGCAAUGUCAAACGGGUACUUAGAAUAUGGGGUGAACAAAGAGAAGUGCAGAGUUUAAAUAGAAAAAUUAUAUUUUAAUUAGGGGAAUGCUAGCAACCUUCUUUUUUGGACAUUCUCUAUUUUCCUAAUGACAUGUGUCACUUUACUUACACUUAAAGCAAUGUCAUUAAUACUUGAGACAAGCUAGCUUUUGUUUUCCAAACUUAUCCUUAUUAAAUAUAUAACUUUCAUGUUUCCUCUAAUUUAUCCUUUAACUUUUUUAUAAUUUUCUUACUACUUUGUUAAAAAAUUAAUUUAAAAGUGAUAUAUCAUAUAUUGAUGAAGAACCACGCGUGUGGUGAAAAUUUCAAAUUCACAUGGAAACAAACAUGUAUGAACAUGCCUUGGUCUUGGAUGUAUGUUGAUGUUGAAUUCCCUAGAAUGAUGUAGGUGUUCCAAGAAUUGUUUUAGGUCCGCCACCCAGAACUAAUUUUUAGGUUGUUUCCUGCUGUAUUUUUUUUUAAUAAAUUUUUUUUGUUAAAAGACUAAUCCUAUGGCAAUUGAAUUGAUUGUAAGUUUGAUUUUGAUUUUGAUUUUGAUUUUGAUUUUUUUUUAAAUUGUCGUUUUUUUUUCUUAUAUAAUUUUUAACAAGAUGAUAAGAAAUCCUAAAAAAUCACAGGAAUAAUGCCAACAAAAUUCAGCCCAAAAAUCACAACAUUAGUAAGCAAAUUCCCGCGUAAAGAAGAGUACUUGAUAGAGCUGUGUUACCAUUUGGAAUUUGGAAAAGUGAUCAACUGCUUAACAAGAAGCUACAUACACAACAGUUAUCAAAGACAGUGACGUUGCUACUGUUUUUCUAAAAGAAAACAACCUUUUUUGUGUUUUUUUUUCUUCUUUCUAAAACAUGGGAGAAAAGUGUUGUUUUAUUUUAUUUUGGUAUAGAGGGUUGGGUUGGGCAUUUAUAUUUGCUUUUUUAAUUUUUAUUAUUUAAUUAUGCCUCUGGUCUGGACCGUAGUUUUGGCUACUUGUUUACUUAUGCUUUCAUUGCUAUAUAGUAUAUUUAGUUGAAAUUGAAUUCGAACGGGCCGGGCUCGUGAGUAUGCCCUUACCCCCCCGGCUCGGGCCAAUUUAAGUCUGUUGCGACUCGACUCAAUGUGCCAAAAAUCUUUAACUGAGCCCGAUUCAUACAUGGGCACUGUGCUUAGCCCGAUUGAUGCCGGUCCAGCCCGUUGUACACCAAUUUUCUUUGACAAACCAAAAUUAAAAGAAAAAAGAAAAAAGAAAAAAGGAAGACAAAAUGUCAAAUAAAGUACUAAAGCUCAACCAAUCAUGUCAAAUCGUGGAACACGUGCGACCCGCACGUAUGAACACAUACAAGACAUCCAGUGACUCACAGCCGUUCCUCUCCUCGCUGCCCCUUUCUCAGUUUUCAACUUCACUUUUUUCCCUAUUUCCCUUUUACUCGUAUCCCUCUUUAAUCCCCACCACUUUCCUCUUGCUAGAGCCGUUGAAGCAAAGAAAGGAACAAACACGAACACAGACCGCGCCUUCCCGAUCCAUCCGACUCAACUCGCUCCGGUGACUCAGAAUGGCCGCAGCUGUCUCCGAGAGAGCGGAGCUCGCCAAGCUCUGCAGCUCACGCAACUGGUCCAAGGCCAUCCGCGUCCUGGACUCGCUCCUCUCCCAGUCUUCUUCCAUCCAAGACAUCUGGUCCGUACACCUCUAUCUCACUCGCGCACUCUCUCAUUCAAUUCCCGCUGAUCUUCAAUUUCUUAAUCGAAUUUGAUUCUGAUCGAUUUUGUGGCUCUCAAUGUUGGUGUUGCAGCAACAGAGCCUUCUGUUACAGCCAAUUGGAGCUACACAAGCAUGUGAUUAAGGACUGCGAUAGGGCGCUUCAGCUUGACCCCGCGCUUCUUCAGGCUUACAUCCUCAAAGGUUUUUCUUCGAUCAUUUUAUCGAAUUUGAACUAUUAUUUGACUUGGAAGAAUUUAUUUCCUUUUUCUUGGAAAUUUUGGAUAAUUUAAGUAGUUAGGUGAUAAUGAUAGCUCAAUUAUGAAAAUGUUAAGCUCCUCGUAAUUAGCUGAUAAUGAAAGGUGCGCAGUUAGUUAGACAUUUCGGAUAGAUUUUAUGCAGUCUUAAUUUUUAUUUUAGGUGUACGGCAAAUGUGAAUAAGUGACUGGUAGUCGAGGCUGAGUGAAAAUCUCAUAGAAUUUGUGAGCAAGAUAUUAAAGAAGAGGUUCAUUGUUUAGAUGAGUUGCAGUGUGGUUUGUAUCGGCCCUUGUAUUUUGGAGAAUUUUUUUUUUCCGUAAUCUAAAAGUUACUUAUCAAUGAUUUAAUGAACGUUCUGUGGAAAAAUUUUAAAGGGGAAGUACACUUAUUGAAGAAUUUGAUAAUAUAAUUACAUUUUUGUUUGGGAUGGAAUAGUAUAUCUUCUUUGCUAUGAGGAAGUGAAAAAAAAAAUACUGAAAUGGCACAGUACUGAUUGAGCUAAAAAUUCAUUUUGUUGAAAUCAUAUUGCUCUUUCGGAUGUAUGCACAAUUGUGCACUCUCAGGGAGCACUUAUUUGACACUUUCUAUGAUUCGAUGUCUUAAAUUUUUUAAAAUACUUGUAUACAAUGAAUCAUUACAUGAAGUACUGUUGGAGCUCCGCCAUUCUUGCGAUCUUAGACUUGAUCUUUGUCCUCUAGGUUGUGCAUUAUCUGCUUUGGGAAGGAAAGAGGAUGCUCUUUUGGUUUUGGAGCAAGGCUAUGAACAUGCCUUGCGUCAGUCUGCAGAUCUGAAGCAGUUGCUAGAACUGGAAGACCUUGUAAGAACUGCAAAAGAGGAGAGAAGUAUUGGAUAUGAGACUCAUGCAAAACAGUCGGCAUCAUCUAUGUUUGCAUCUGAAUCAAGAUCACAUGUUAAUGGGAAGUCAAGUGAGACUCAUGAGAAUCACAAUAAAUUGAGUGAUCAAUCUGAAUUAUGCAGUGAAUCAACAGUUACCUCUGAGGUCCAUAGCAACUCUAAUGGUAAUUUGGACGUACCCAAUGGAAUAGGUGAUAUAGCCGCAGCGAGUAAGAAGUUUGAUAGCCAAAUGAAUGGGAAUCAUGAUAAUCGUGAUAAAUUGGGUUAUGACUCUGAAUCAUGCAAUGACUUAAGUGAUACAUGCAGUAAAUUACCAAUGAUUUGUAGCAAAUCAAGUGAUGUGACAGAAACUCCUCCCACACCCCCAAAGUUAAGUAGUAAAUCUGAUAUACGCCAUGAAAUUAGUGAUGACUCCAAGAGAAAUAAAAAGUUCUGCGUUGCUAGACUUUCAAAGUCCAAGUCAAUAAGUGUGGAUUUUCGACUAUCAAGAGGUAUAGCAGAGGUAUGUUAUAAUUCCUUUAUUUGGUAAUCAUCUUUCUGUUUGAGCACAGUUAUUGUUUCUGUUGAAUUGCCAGUGUUUUGAACCUUAUAUUCUCUUCAAUGUGUGAUGUACCUUUUUUACAGGUUAAUGAAGGGAAGUAUGCUCAUGCCAUAUCUAUAUUUGAUCAGGUAAGUUUCAGUCCAUGUGAAUCCUGAAAAAUUUCUGGCUAUUGGAAUUUUCCUUCCCAUCGUUAUUUUUCCUUGUGUUUCUUUCAUCUUCAUUUUUAUUAUUUUCCUCUUUUCAUUUCUGGUUUGUCGAUGGGUAACAACAUGUCUUGGGGGUCGUAGUUUUACGGGGCCUUUAGCAAGUUUUAUGAGCAUUUGCAUUGUUUUAUAAUUAUAUGCACAGAUAUUGAAAGAAGAUCCUAACUAUCCAGAGGCACUGAUAGGGAGAGGGACAGCCUAUGCAUUCCAACGAGAACUUGAGGCUGCAAUAGCUGAUUUUACUAAGGUAUUUGAUGAACUAAUAUUUUGACAGGAGAAUAAAAAAUGGUUUGGUUCUACGUGCAAGUAGUUGAUCUGUUUAUAUUUUUCAGGCCAUGGAAUCAAAUCCAUUAGCGUGUGAGGCAUGGAAACGGAGAGGGCAAGCACGAGCUGCCCUGGGAGAAUUUGUUGAGGUGUUAUUUCUACCUUAAUUUUUUCAUGUAAAUGUAUUCUAUGUAAAAUAAAGUAAUGAAUAUUUGGUUGUGGUUUUACACUGUUCCUCCAACUUAAUUAAUGGUAAAAGAAGUUAUUGUUACUUGUUAUGACACAAGAACUGACAUGUACAUGCAUAUAUUAAACUCUUGUGAUCCAGGCCAUUGAAGAUCUGUCGAAGGCAUUGGAGUUUGAACCAAAUUCAGCCGAUAUUUUACAUGAAAGGGGUAACUAGCUCAAACCCAAUCAUUACAUUUCAGCAUUCAGGUUCAAAUGUUCAAAUGCCUUCAUUUUUUAAGAUAAAAAGAUGUUGUUUUAGAGUGUAUCUGCAUCUAUUUACAGAUUGUCAGGCUUAGGUGCUGUUAACAUGUUAAAACAGAUGUAGGUGAACAAUUUUCUAGAGAGAUCAAUAGCUGUAGAAGCUUGACAUUGUAUUAUUGAGACUGCAAUGUUUCUUCAGUUAUAUAUUUUUAUUAAUAGCCCUAAACGACGACUUCUGUCAAUAGGCACGUAACAACAGUAGCAUUGUCAUUUUUGCAGGAAUUGCCAAUUUCAAGUUCAAGGACUUUUACAAUGCCGUUGAAGACCUAACUGCAUGUGUGAAACUUGAUAAGGAUAACACAUCUGCAUACACAUACUUGGUGAGUCUUCAAGAUUUGUGUUUCUGUUGAUUCUGUUGUCUGGUAUUUGUUCUUGCAGCUUACCCUGGAAUAAUCUUGCACUAUUGAGUAUUGACUGAACUGAUAUUGGCUUCCCUAGGGUUUGGCAUUAUCCUCAAUUGGUGAAUAUAAAAAAGCUGAGGAGGCACAUUUGAAAGCAAUUCAACUGGAUCAGAAUUUCCUUGAGGCAUGGGUGCAGCUAACCCAGGUAUCCAUGAGCAAAUACUUUGUUUACCAAGGCCAGAUGAAUUUCCAUCAUUGUUCAUGCCUAGUUCAUUAUAUUGCAUAUCCUUAAUAAGAAUGGCAACAUCACUAGUGAAAACCAGAAUCUCAUGGAAUCAAUAUGGGAUUUUAUCUCUGUUAAAUGGCAUAGGUAUAGUAAUAAUGUAAUACACUAGAAUCUGAGGAUAGGCUCAUAACUAAAGCUUGGUAGCAGUUUAUUAGUUCACUCUUAACUACUCAUAUAGAGUGAAUAGGACUUGCCAUUUUGGUUGAUACAAAUCGAGUGUUUUAUAACAAGUAUUGCUCUUCUGGCAUGUGGGUUUUUGCAGUUCUAUCAAGAUAUGGCUAACCCUACCAAGGCUUUAAAAUGUCUGCAGCAAGCUCUACAAAUUGAUGGGAGGUGAGCAUUUUGUGUCUGAACUAAGCCAUCCAUGUUUCUAAAGUUUAUGUUGAUCCUGAUAUAACUCAGCAAGAGUGCUAAUGCUGGAGAUAUACUUGUUUGUCUAAAUUUGAAAGGUUUGCCAAAGCAUAUCAUUUGCGCGGUCUACUGCUCCAUGGAAUGGGAGAACACCGGUAGGUUAUACCAAAUCCUAUCUUUGGAAUGAAUUGUUGACUAUAAACACUAACCAGUAUCUACUCUUGAAAUGUUUGCAUGAUCUUGUAAAGCAUAAAUUAUUUUGGAUAUUACUGUGUCUCUGAUCAUAUGGUAGAUGUAGUAAAAUGUGAUGGAUUGUUGUCAUCAUCAGUUGCAAUAUGUUGUAUUUGGUAUUACAGUCCACUUAAAGUGGAAUUAGGCACCACAGCAGUCCACGGGCACAAUAGCGUACUAGGGAUAAUGACUUUUGGUCAUAUUCAUAGAUGAAAAAGUUGCCAAUGUCCCUUGUGGUAUCUGUUAGUGAAUGUAGCAUUGUGCUAAUUUUUUUAUAAAUAAAGACACUAGGCGGUGUAAUUAAUUGCUGGGUUCUAUAUUGCAGCAAGGCUAUUAAGGAUUUGUCAACUGGGUUGAGCAUUGAGAAUACCAAUAUUGAGUGUUUGUAUUUGCGGGCAUCCUGCUACCAUGCUCUUGGAGAAUAUGGGCACGCGGUAUUAGAAGUUGUUUCUUUGGUUUGUUUGGAACAUCAGCUGCAUGUUUAAUCAUAUUUCACUUAUACAUUGAUCACAGGUCAAGGACUACGAUGCUGUGCUAGAUUUGGAGCUAGACUCGAUGGAGAAGUUUGUGUUGCAAUGUCUUGCUUUCUAUCAGGUUUAAUUUGAUCUGGAAUAGCAUGGCUUAUUUCAUGUUGAUAUUCUUGCACUUAUAAGCAUUAUGUAAGUGCUGAUGUGCAGGAACUCAAAGUGUAGUGUGCACUAUUAAUCUUAGUGUGCAGUUCCAUCUUUUAGCAUAUAUCUUUAAUGCACCUCGGGCACUUUUCUUCUUCUUCUUUUUUCUUCAGAUAUAUCGAAUGAAACAUUCCCUUCUUUGAGUAAAAGACUAUGCUCGACAAAUCACAACAAUGACCUUGCUUAUGUGUCAAACUUUGAAUUUGUUAUUUUGUUUUGUUUACAGAAAGAGAUUGCUCUGUACACGGCAUCAAAAAUCAACAGUGAAUUUUGCUGGUUUGAUAUUGAUGGAGACAUUGAUUCACUUUUUAAGGUGAUAUAUUUUGAAGAUUAUUUUGGUCUUGAUUUCCAGUUCAUUGUUAUAAAUUUUCAGCUAAUUUCUGUCAUAUCAUCUCAGUAACAGUAUGUGCAUGUUUGGCAUAAUUAUACCUAAAUAUAAUACAAAAGGCGUUGUGCAUGAAAUGUCAUAUAAGAAAGAUAAAGUUAAAAAAGGUAGCUAUUCCCCUGCCUAGUCCUUUCAACAAUUAAUUGUGAAGCUGAAGAAGCUGAAAUGUCAAAUAUCCAAAAUCAUAUUUGUUCAAUUAAAAAGUGGCCAAAGCCAACCAUGUUUAGUUACUUAACUUUAACUUUAAAGUCAUGGCGGAUCCUCAUGAAGAAUCUGCACACACUUACACACCCAAACCGAUGUGGGGCAUUGGAAAACCACCCUUUUUUGGCUAUAAAAUCCAACCAUUGGACCCCAAACAGAGGCUACAACAUAACCUCUUAUAAAUAAGAGCAUGUAAGGGGAACAUUUAACAAAAGGUUGCACACCGAGAAUGUAUGUGAAAAAGGCUAGGCAAAUUGACUCUUUCCCUUCUCCUACUUUCUGUUUAUUGUGUUUUCAAUAUCUAAUAUUCAGGAGUACUGGUGCAAAAGGUUGCACCCCAAGAAUGUAUGUGAAAAGGUCUAUCGGCAACCUCCCCUGCGUGAAUCUUUGAAGAAGGGCAAGCUUCGAAAGCAAGUUUUUACAGUUACAAAGCAGAAGACUGCUCUUCUACAAGCUGCUGAUUGCAUUGGAAGGAAAAUCCAAUAUGAUUGUCCUGGCUUCUUACCGAAUAGGCGUCAGGUGAUUUUGAUAUCAAGAAUAGCUUUGAAGUUAAUGCAAUUCAUUGUUGUCACUUCUUAGUUGCGUUUCUUUACUAUUUUCCCAUUUAUGUUUUCAACUUUUUAUCUUAUUUGAGGUUUAUUGUAAUUAGACAUAUUGCCUUGAGGAGAUGUUGCACCUCUCAUGUUUUUAUUUAAAUUUGAACAAUCCAGAUCAAAUAGAUUCAAUUGAAGCUGCAGAUGUUGCAAUCAUUUGAGGCCCAUGAUAUUUCACCCAUCUCAUAUUUAUAAGCUAAAAUGGUAUAUGAUCUGUUAAACAAAAUUCCUCAGUAAGGAUUUCCAAAACACUUAACCAGAGGUGAAUAUCAAGAAGGUUCCACCUUUAACUGAUCAUUUUAUCCGCAUCAUUGCACAAAAAUUGAUGAGAUAAAAGUGAUCAGGCUUGAUGCAUAGUAUGAGACAUAACUUUUCAAUUUGAACCAAUUUUAAUAUGAGAACGAGACUUUACUUUUCUAUUUGAGCCAAGUUUUAAAAAAUGAGCUAAUAUCUGCUCUCAACCGUAAAAACUAUUAAUUUUGACUCAGUGCGUAUGUGUAGACAACCAUACUUUUGUACAGAAGAAAACAAUCUGACUUUUCUUUUUUGCAAUGGUUAUUAUUACUUAGAGUUUUACGCUGUUUGUUUCCUAUUGGUUUUCUGGCUGGUGUUUUUGCCCGGCUUGUUUGUACUGUUCUCUGCCCUUUUGGGUGAUUGCAAUGAAUUGGAACUUCAAAAAAAAAAAAAAGAGUUUUACGCUGUAGCAUUUAGCAUUCUUCAGUUGACUCAUUUGGAGCAUUCAACUCUACUUCCAUAUAACAUGAUGUAUUUCCAUGUUUCUCUAGUUUCCUUGCCCUGAAGAGCUUUGAAUUAACCAACCAAUAUUUUUUAUUUAUUAAUUUGUUGACAUUCUAUGUCUACCAGCAUCGUAUGGCAGGAUUGGCUGUUAUUGAAGUUGCACAAAAGGUUUCAAAAGCUUGGCGUUCCUUCCAAGCAGAAUGGAAGUAUUCUAAUAAAGGCACAUCGUCGAAGAAUGGUAAGAGAGGCCGGAGAAGGGAAAGAGUCAAUUUGCCUAGCCAGAAUAGAGGCGGUGCUGGUUGUAGUACGAGUAGCUCUUCAGAGACCUCCACUUCAUAUGGCAUUACAGAAGCUAAUUCAUCCGCACGCUCUAUGAUGUCAUGGCAUGAUGUUUAUUCAGUAGCUGUCAAAUGGCGGCAGAUUUCAGAACCUUGUGACCCCGUUGUGUGGAUUAACAAGCUAAGGUAUUCCAUUUUAUUUUUAAUUUAUAAAUCAUUUCCAUGCUCAAUAGCCACAUAACAUCAUGUUUGGAUUCAGUUUCACUCUGAUUUUCAUUUAAAUGGUUAAAUAAGAUAGUCAAAUAUUUUCCUAUGCUGUUUUCUAAUGUGAACAUGGAUUUCUACUCAACUCAGUGAGGAGUUUAAUGCUGGAUUUGGGUCUCAUACACCAUUGAUCCUUGGACAAGCAAAAGUUGUUCGCUACUUCCCAAAUUUUGAAAGGUGAAGGUCUAUAAUGCUUCCAUUUAGUAUGGAACUGUUUAAACAAUGCUCUGUCCCCCCCUUGACUGCUCAUCACUUGUCAAUGUGGCAGAACAUUAGAUGUUGCAAAAACUGUCAUGAAGGAGAGGUCAUAUGUGUAUAAUAAGGUUGAUAACCUUAUUGAUCUAUCCAGGGAUGGGAAAUUGAAAGAUGUGAGUUCACCAAUCCUUUAUUUUUACUCUUGAAAAUCUUAUUUUAUUACUUGAAGACUAUUGUAUCCUUUUCCUAUAUUAUGUUGUCACUUUUAAUCUUCUUUUUUUUUGUUUGCUUUUCUUUUGCAUGUAUAACCCUCGUUGAACAAUUAUUUCUUUCAUAUGUAAAUAAUUGUUUCACUGACAUAAUUAUAUUCAUGCAGAUUUUGGAAGCAAAAUCUUGUGCUGAUUUACACAGAGCGGUUGGUGAGGACUUCUGGUUGUCUACUUGGUGCAAUAGUACUGCCUUUGAGGGGUAACAAUGCAUAUCUUUUUAAAAUUGAUUUCCGUGCAUUUUAAUUGCAUGUCAUGCCUAGUUCUGAUUGUUCCUGCUUGUUACAGGAAAUAUCUUGAAGGGACGCGGAUUACCCUAGUAAAAACGUAGUCUCUUGCACCUUGGCUUGCAAUAUUCUCUUUUUCCUUUUUCAUUUUCUAAUUUUAUUUUAUUUUCCCCAUCUUAUUUAGUCCUUUUUAUUUUCUUAAUUCUGGAUGCAUUAAAUGAUUUUUCCAGGGGGGAGAAUAGAUAUGACUUUGCAAUCAGAACACCUUGUACACCUUCAAGGUGGGAUGAAUUUGAUGCAGAAAUGGCUAAGGCAUGGGAGGUAUGUUACCCUACACCCAUCUAUGCGAGCCAAUUUUUUAUUGUAAUUUAUUUCCAUACUCUAUUUUGUUUAAUAGAUGCCAGUAAUCUAACAUGGGUCGAGCCGCUUUCUUGGAUCCUUGAUAUAAGCAAUACAUGAUAUAUUUGUAUUGGAAGAACAAAUAUCACAAUAUGAGACAUGAACAGUGCUUCUAGUACCUUUACCAUUCCUUAAUUUUGCGUGUGUAGAAUCUUCCCAAGCAUUGUGUUGGCCAGUGAAAUAUACUCUUAUGAAUAUCUAGUGAAUGUGAUUUAGCUAAUCCUCACCUAUGAAAAGAGAAAAUUUACUAAAAAACUUAAUAAGGAAAAGAUGAGAAUGCUUGACAUUCAAUCUGAACCCUAACCUGAGCCAUGAAACAAAACAUGCUCCAAAGUGUUAUUCCACUCUCCCAAUAUCCCUACAAACCUUGUGAACUCUCAUUUCACUUUACCCAAAACUGAUGCCCUGUAAGAGUUAUUCAAGAUCCUUCUUGGAUAAUGCAAGACUCUUAGCCCUAGUAAUCCCUAGUUCCUGAUAAACUACUUUUUUCAUUGCCCAUACCUGAUAAAUUACUUGAUACAAUUGGUACUUGAGAUAUUCCAACCAUACAUUUGGCCACCAUGUCCUGCUUAAGCAGAACCUUAGGAUGCCAUCAACGUUUGUUUUUCUUUAAUGGCGAGUCUUCUGGAUCUGGAUAGACGGGACCUUUAGGCUGGUGCUAGCUAGAAAACCUUUGACUAGAGGCGCUAACAGGCAGAUUUGUUUAUACUAUUGUUUGUCUUUCAUUCAGUGUGUCAGCAAUCUUUUGUGGUAUUUUUUAUUAAUAAUUCUUUGGUUGAAUAAAUUGCUAAUGUUUUGCAUAUAUGGACUAUGGAUUGGCAGGCUAUAUGCAAUGCUUAUUGCGGUGAAAAUUAUGGGUCUACUGACUCCAGUGUGCUUGAAAAUGUGAGAGAUGCAAUUUUAAGGAUGACGUAUUACUGGUAUAACAUUUGACCUUGAUGCAUGGAUACGGCAUGUUUGUCAUUCACAAAAUAUAUAGUUCUAAAUAAGGAGUAUCUAUACAUAUUCGCCUUUUCAGGUACAAUUUUAUGCCGCUUUCUAGAGGCUCUGCAGCUGUUGGGUUUGUGGUUAUGCUGGGAUUACUUCUUGCUGCUAAUAUGGAGUUCACAGGAAGUAUCCCACAAGGUUUACAGGUGGAUUGGGACGCCAUUCUGAACUUUGAUCCAAACUCUUUCGUGGACUCGACGAAGAGUUGGUUGUAUCCAUCUCUGAACGCAACAACAUCCUGGAAAGAUUAUCCUGACGUGGGAUCGAUUCUAGCCACAACAGGUUCAGUUGUUGCUGCUCUGAGCACUUGCGACGAUGUUGCUUCUAAAAGUCCUGAAGAGGUGAGUUCACUGUGUCACACAUAAUUUAUAUGCAUGAUAUGCCUUUUGUGAGAGUUGAAGCUGCCGCGUCAGUGUACGCAUCGUCAUAUUAGGCAUUGUACCAAAUCUUGCAUUUCUUAUAAAUAAGUUUGAAUUGUAAUCAGCUAUGAAGACUUAGCAAUGACCAAGUGUUCAUUUGGCACUUUUAAUGUUAUUUUGAUCACCUAAGAAUUUUGUGCUGACUUUCUGAAAUUGACGUCGCGUAUUUUCCUGUUUAUGCAGUGCUGAGUCAAUUUGAGGCAAGAUAUCUGCAAAUCUUACACCGGCUUAUACCAAUGUAAACGCGUAUGCAUGCUGUAUGUUUAUUUGUUGUACAGUUUUCUAGAAUAAUGAAAUUGUAAUUUUUUAAAUACAUUGUUUCCCCUUUAUGUGUUGUACGUUAAUUCAUCACAAUAAAUUUAGAAACCAUGUUUUUAAUUCGCAGUGGAUAGUUGUCAUUUUGACAUUAUCAUAUAUAUAUAUAUAUAUAUAUUAAAACUAAAAAAAGUUGGGAAUAUUUAUUGGUUAAACCUUAGUUAAUUAGAAUGUGCUAUCAGAGUCGAAAUUUCUCAAAUUCAUGUGAAUCUCAUAUAUUUCCAAUACAUAUUGUCAUCUGGGUCAUCACUUGGUAUUUAAACUCUGGUUUUUGUUUUUUAGGUUGGUGCUUGUAGUAAUGCUAUUACAUAAUAUUAUUUGUAUGAAAAUGAAUUUCAGUUUCUCCUUAAGUUGUGCUGAGAUUUGAUUAUCAAUUUUUGUUAUUCCAGUUUUCGCCAACAUACAUCGAAUUUAUUUUGGUGUUUCUAAACCUUGAACCAAACGGACCUAGAAUAAUGAAGCCGAGAUGGAAUGGGAUGCCAUAUAAUUAUGUUGUUCGGGAAUGGGGUUUUACCCGGCCAAACAAAUGCAAUGCAAUCAAAGAUGUUUUUUCAUAUCUAACUGAAGAUAUACACCAAUCUGACGGAUAAUUGUGAAGCCAUACAAUCAUUUAUCUUUUGCUAACGUAAGAGCGCAAUGACAAUUAGGUAAGGCAAGAUCCCAUAUAGAUCAAAUCUGAUACGGGUUAGGAAGGACUUUCUGUUACUAGAAGGUUUUAUAAUGAUUAAUCAUUUGGUGAAGUGUAAGAAAGUAGUUUUUAAUCUAAUCUGAAAAGUUGGAGGAAAAGAAAAGAGACGUUGAUGUCGACUUUUUUGUUUUUGUCAAAACAGAAUAUGUCCAAGAGUUCAUGUGACAGUAUCCCAUCAAUUAAUGGAAAAUCUGAAUCUAGUAUCAUAGAAUGUAAAAGUAAAUGAGAUAAUGCAAUCCAUGUCAUUAAAAAAAAAAGCAAAAAAAAAAAAGAAAGAAAGGAAAAAGUCAUAUAAUUUAAUAGUAAAUAAUACCUAUGAAAUGCUGUUAUUUGAGAGCUUUUUAUAAUUCAGAUUUUGACAGUAUUUGAACAAGCACAAACAAAAUUUGUCAAAGCAACAAUCCCCAAAAAGGUUUUUCCCCCUCCUAAAUUUGAGCUCAUGCCCAAAAAUCAAGGGCAUCAUGGUCAAAAUGCAUGGUACCCACUACUGCCACUGUGUCCAGGAGCAGUUAGAGAAUGUCUGUUUUUUUCCACGGUUGGAUGGUACCCAUGGACAGGACACCAGGUGUUCUCAUGAAUAUGGAGAAGCCAGAGUUUAAAGUCACAUAGAGCUGGGUUUCUUGAUAUCUUGUCUUCUUACACCUCCUAAUUUUGGUGUACAUAGAAAUUUGAUAAGGCCUCUCUUCCCUUACCCAAUUUUCAAGCUUCCCAUCCUUUCUGUGACAUUUACACCCUUUUCUCUUCUUCUUUCCCUUUAUAGCUUUCUCCAUCUUUUUUCAGCAAUCGUUUCAUCUACAACGGUAGGCCUGCCUGUAAAAGAAAUGAAUAUUUAUGAGGGCUUAGCUAAAAAAUAAAGAGGCGUUAUUGCCUAGUACUUAGCAUCAAUCUACAAUAUCUGAUACAUUGUCGAUAUUAUCAAAUAUCGACGGUGAAGUAGAUAACGUCAAGUAGUACUUGUAGGUAUUACUAGAUAUUGACAUUGAACUAGAUACGAUAAAGUGAUACAUUGUCGGUAUUACCAAAUAUCUACAUUGAAUUAGAUAUUAUAAUGUGAUAUAUUGUCACUAUUACUAAAUAUCAACAAUGGAGCAAUUACUGUAGAUUGGUAUUUGCUUUCCCAAAUAAGAAAACAAUUAUAACAUCGACAAUGUAUGAAUUAAUGUAGAUUGGUAUUCGGCUUUCCCCAAAAAGAAGAGCAAUGUUAGCAAGCAAAGAUUAAUAGAAUGUGCUUAAUUAAAAGACUCACUGAGGCCAUGAGAUUCUAAUAACUCUUCAUGGUUGUUAAAACUCCUGGACUUGGCGGGAGCAAAUAACCAAGUUUUAUUCAUUUGCUUGUUAAUCAUACGUGCCGCGUAGCUUGGGAUUUCUGCCCUUUCGGUUUGGCCGGACUUCAUACGGCCAUGAACAAAUGUUACGCAGUCAAUCAAGCUCUCUUUUGCCAACCCUUUCAUGUCAUAAGCCUGUGAUCUUCUCCACAGGCUCUUACCAUGAGGGCUCACUGCACUGGAUAAGCACAGAGCUAUGGUUGUGUCACUGAUGACGGCCUCUGGGUUCCUCAGCAGCAAGUAACACUGAGCUCUGUUGCUAUGGAGCACAAGCCUGUCUUUUCUCAUCUUUAAUGGGCACAUAUGCAAGGCUUCUGUGUACUCCAUCACAGCCUUUUCUAUGUUCCCAGACCAGAAGUUUAGAUUUCCUUCUUGUUUCAGCUGUCUCACCAUUGAUUUUCUCUCUCCGAUUUCUUGUUCAGACAUCAACUUCUCCCUCCUUUUUCUGUCAACCUUCAAAUCCCAUGUCUCCUUCAAAGCUCUCUCAACUUUCUUCCUCUGGAAUUUCAAGUCCCCAUACUUGAUUUUAUGGUAAUCUUGUAAUAGAGCCUGUGUGAUUGUGUCUCCAACUUUUGGUCUUCCUCCAAUACUUCUAAGCUCAACCAGAUCAACAAGAAACACAACUGAAGUCUCCAUGGCUUUAUGUCUGGUUUCCGGGUCUUUGAGGAGUAGCAGAAGACAAUCAAUGGCCAUCAGCUGCCAAUCAUCUGAGGACCUUGAGAGGUUGCAGAGUGCCUUUAUGACUUCUUGUAAAUUUGCUACACUUUGUCUUCCAAUUUUGGUUUGACAAAGUGAUCUCAACAGCCUAAUCACAGCAGGUGAAGUUGGGUUUGCUAAACCACCCCACAUUCCGCACAAAUCAAUCAAGAAUUCUCUCUUGCAGAUCAAAUUCAGAGACUUUUCUUUGCAUGCAAAGCGGUUGAGAAGAUUGAGGGACCAGCACUGAAGUUGGCUAGCCCAUUCCUCUGCCUUUCUGUCCUCAAUUUCCAACCCUCCAAGCCCUCUUGUAACCAAAUCGCAAUGGUACUUCAAUCUUUUUGAAGGUUCCAAGCCAACAAACUUAUCAAACACCUCUUUGGGGCAGGUCAUGGCUAUCUUCAUGGCUAAUUCUACAAUCUCCACUUCAUUUACACCAAUGGCUUCUUCAAAGAUCUUUUCAUGGCUUGCUAUAUGAGCAAGAGCCCGAACCGCCACUCGUUGCUCCACCCAGGUGAUCUUACCUCUCAUCAGCUCAAUUAAUGGAAAAACCACCCCUGAUUCUACAGCCUUCUCUGCAAAUCGAACCUUGUUCAUGGUGUAAGAGCCAAUAGUAUGGGCAGCAUAGUAGGGGAUAUAGAUGUUCUGGUCGCUUAGCAGCCACUUUUUGUCAUUGAUGCCUUUGUGAAUAAGCUUUGCCAUGCAUUCAAAGAUUCCAAGAGAUGGGAAUUCAGGGUCAUUAGGCUGCAUCAUGGCUAUGUUCCAGAGGCUGCUUAGUGCAAGGACAUGUUCUUGGUCAUUCCUGAGAGGCAAAUCUUGGAAGGCUUUGAUGAUUCUAGCUUUUCUGAGAGAGGGGUCUGGCUCAUUCAUGGUGCAGAAGAAACAAGAAGGUUUACUGCAUACUGACUCUGUGUUCUUGGUGGUUUUCUUCUGGAAUUGUGAUUUCAUGAUUUUGUUUGAGAGAGUUAGGGGUUUAAAUAGGUUUUUGGGUGUAUACAAUUGGCAUCACAAGAAGAAAAACUUAGUUUGGUAGAGUUCCGGUAUUGCAGAAAUGAACUUAGAUGAACAUGGCAAGACUAUGAGAGCAAAGAGUGCAAAAGGUUUAUUGUAAAUGAAGAAAGAGGUGGGGUAGAGAGGAAGUACACAUCGCUACGUACCCUACAACAACUGGUCCACAUAAUUGCUUCUGACAUCAGAUCCAAACAGCAUGAGUUUUGAAAAUUUAUAUUAGAUGUUCCGCUCACUCCUAAUUUGUCAUUCUACACUCUUUCUCGAGUCUUCUAGUUUGUCAUUCUACACUCUUUCUCGAGCCUACUAAAAUAACAAAAUAUCAAAUUUCGAGAGUACAGAAUGACAAAUUAGGAGUGUGAAUAACAAUUCCCAAUAUUUUCAAUUUAAAACCAAAUAAGGAGAAGAGGAUGAUGACUACCAGUUCCAUUCUCCGGAACCACCUGCACACUGAUCAUUGAUUGGCCAGGAGUGCUUUGUCCUUUUGAUCCAAAGUUACAUUUUCUCAAAAGGGGUGUUUUUGGAUGGCAUGCCUCCUCUUUCAUUUUCUGAAUUUUCUCAACACCUUAUCUGAAGCUGUAAUUAAUUGGGCAGCUGCAUGUUAAGCACUGAGAGAUUAGCUCAACCAAGUGUCUCUUACUAAAUAGAGACAAAGUACCAUGAUCCCAUUUCAGGAUAAUCUGCAUAAUGAAUGAACCAAAUAAUUUGAAAUUCAAAAAACGAAAAAGGCACAGCAGUGGACUAGCUAGCCACUAUAUUAUGAUUCUGCGUAAAGGGUGACCCUAAAACCUAAAGGGUUGCUCCUGCCAUGAUAUACCCCAUCUGCUUCUAUGGCUUCAAAGUCAAGCAAGCAACUUUGGUCCCCUCCAUAACAAGCCAAUCAACAAUGGGUAUUAGAAUUUUUAUUAUAUAUAUACUGCUCUGCAGAUGUGCAGGCUUUUUGAGCUUUGGAUGUAUACAAGUCAGCUGAACUAAAAAAAGCAGAGUGGAAGUCACCAAAUAUAAUGCUGCAAGUACAACUGGGUUGGUCUCAAGAAAAUGCGGCUAUAUAUAUACAUAUAUAUCAUUAUGCAAAAUCUAAGAAUAAGCAUUAGCUAGAUAGCAUAGAUUAGCACUUGCUAACUGGGUUUAAUAAUGCAUAUUCUGCCAAUGACAAAGUGCGCAUUCUGAAUGCCUUUUACAUGGAUUAUAUAUAUUUAUAUAGUCAUGAUUUAUGGUUGUUUAUAGUUCAAAGUUCAAACUUGUUGAUAUUUAUUUGCAUCGAGAUUCAGGAUGCAUGCAUGUCCUAGUACUUUAGUUUGGCGUUUUUCCAGGAGCACUACACAUUGGAGAUCCAUCGGCUGCUAGUGGGAAGAUAGUGUGACAUUUUCCGGUGAAAAGCUUGCCAAAUUAUAAAGAAUAUAUUCAAACACGGUUGUUAAACAAUUGCCUGCGCAUGCAUCUAGUUUCUCCAACAUGAAUACGAGAUAUUGCUUGAUAUGAGACCGACAUGGUGGUGGAACUUCUCCCUACAAAACCAGCUUACAAGGGAAAAAUGCCCAAGAGUUAUAUACUAUAUUCUCUAACUAUAUAUAUAUAGUUUGGCAUGAUGCUUUAGUUGCAGACUCUCUUUAAUUUCCUUGUUUUUAGUAAUCUUAUGUUGUACGGCUGGCAUGUAGUACUCUUUCCUAUUCUGGGAGUUUUAUCGCACGUGGUUUUCCUCAAGAAGGUUUUAACAAGGCCACUUUUUCAUGCCCUUUUGUACACACUCUUUUCAGUUGAAUGGAAUGAAACCUACCGCUUCCUCUCAAAACCCUACAUAUAUCUCUUCUCUUAACACAAGUGAAUUUCAUUAAUAAACAAAUAUUGGCUUUAAAACAAAGAAUUUUGAAGUAAAACUUUCACACAUGUUAAGUAGAACCCAUUAAUACACUAAAAGACCCAUUAACAAUUUGAUAAAUAAAACCAUUGAUAACCCAACCCAUUAACAAAACAAACUCACAUUGACAACCGAAUCCUUUAAUACAAGAACCCAACUAAAUAACCCAACCCAUUAACACAACAAAACUCAUAACCCAACCCAUUAACAGGCAUCAAACUUAAUGAUAAAGAGAAAAUGAGAGACUGAAGGUGAACCAAAAAUACAAACCAGACUCAUCAUACAUAAGAUAAAAGCUGAGACACAGGUAGAAAUCAGACUUCCACCUUGCCUACAAUAUCACCCACAGAGAGGCAGAGCGAGAGAGAGGACGAGGCAACAAAUUUUCUGGGUUAUUUGCUGGUAUCAUAGAAAAAAAUUUGGGUUACUUCGAUUACCUUCUUUAUUCUUUAAGCUGCCCUGCCUCUUUAUGGACAAAGUCACAAAGAUUAACAAAUUGGCCCAACUGCGUUGUGAUAUCCAAGACUGGCUUGUAAAGGAAGAAAGCCCCCAGUGUUUAUUACUAUCCCAAGAUACUUUUCAUCUCUUAUACACUCGAGAUAGUUUUUUAUCAGUCCCGAUCUCUUGGACCACAGGAGUCCAAGAGAUUGUGGUCACCCACCGUUGGAUAUUAAUCCAAUGGUUGAAAAAAGUUUUUUUAAAAUGAGUGCAAGAGUGAGUGAACUGUUGAAUUUACAUCCAACGGUGAGUGACCACAAAUUUCUUGGACUCCUGUGGUCCAAGAGAUCAGGACUGAGUUUUUUAUUGAGGAUUAUGAUCCGACCAGUGUUUUUAACAAAACAGCAGAUCCAAAAGAAGAACUGGGCUUCUAGAAGGUGGACCUUGGGCUCUAGAAAGUCUCUACAAUGUUGAUACGUCUGGAAAUUUUAAUCACCACACCCAAUUAGAUUUCUAAUGAAUUCUACAUUUACUCACUACACUCCCGAAUAUUUUAAAACGUAACUCAUCCUUAAACUAAUUAUAAAACCUAACAGACAAUCUCAUGGUGGUUGCUUGUGAAUAUUGAUAUUCGGAUGAUGGAUGGAUUAUGCCUCUUGGGACACUUUAUUUAAAGUUGAUUCUUAAUUAUUUUGUACGAGCAAAUUUGAAUUUGAGAUCUUUUUUAAUAUUGGAAUAAAAGUAAAACUAAAUUAAGAGCCAGUUCAUCUUUUAUCUGAAUUAUAUAUAUAUAAGCGAUAUUGAAAGAGGGGAAAUCUAACUUAGGAUCUCGAAUGUAAAGGUAAAUACUUUUAACUACUUGAGCUACAAGUUAUUGUACUUUAUCUAAAAUUAAAUAAAUUUACCAUGUUUCUCUGGAAGAGUUUUUCUAACUAAGAAAUUUGAGUUUUGAGGUGGUUGCCUUAUUAAGACCAAUUAGACAAAUAAACUAAAAUAUCUUAAAAAGCUCUUGCUUCACUGGCCUAAUAGUAACAGUAAAUAAAUAUUUGUAUUGGAAUACAAAAGAAGAAAUGCAUUAAUUUCAAAUCUCGUCCUUUGAAAUCCCAAAUAUGAUAUGUAAUUAUUUCAAAUGCAUUGUAUCUAACCCCCAACUAAUUAUUCAUACAAAAAUAGAAACCAACUAGUUCCUAUCUAAUUACAUUUCCUAAUAUUAUUUAUGUCAAUUGAAAAACUCCUCUUGUAUCGCCAGGAUUUACUACAUAGAAAAAGAUACGUUGUUUCGAUUGCAUUUGACCUAAAAUACAAAAAAGAUACGUUGUUUCGAUUCCAUUUGACCUAAAAUACAAACCAAUCACAGACUUUGCGUGCUUGUGCUUUUGGCUUAGCACUUUAACUACCGAACAUGCCAAGCAUAGUAUUGAAAUCGAAUGUGUUCCAACUUCUCCAGCUCAGUCCUCAUUGUCUUCCAUGUCAUGUCAAGCAUAGUAACAAAACCAGCUCAUCCUGUUUGCUAUUAUUAUUAUUAUUAUUAAAAAAUAAAAGAAAGAAAAAGUGAGAAAAUAUACUCAUUUUCUGUAAGAAAAGAAAAAAAAAGGGGAAAGAAUCCUUCCUGCUACACCCUACAGGCAAAAAUAUGCGUUACAAAAGCACCUACAGGCAACAUUUCGCGGGACCCACAAAUUUGGCGGUGCUCCGAUAAUCCAUCUAAACUUACCAAAUCACCACGCAAUUAUUGCCACGACGCCUCAUGUGGCCGUCGGUUAUUGGUUUGUCAAACUGGCAAAUGACCCCACCUUUAAACAAUCCAGCUGUAUAAGUUCUACAAAAACUAAAAAAUAAAAACCUGACUUAUGGUUUUUUUUUAAUAUUUAUUAAAUAAAGACUUAUAGUUUGAAUGAUUAAGAAUAUUUAUUUUUAAAAAAUUUACUAGUGUAGUGAUUUAGAGUAAUUUUUCUCUCUAGAAAACGUCCUGGGUUUGAGUUUACUUCCCUAAUUAGGGGUUCGAGUCUUAAUAUUCGUAUAAUAUUUAUAAAUUUAAUAUAUUAUCACUUUUUUUAAUAAAAAUAUAAAAAAAUUAUUUAAACAAUCGAAGUUCUUAAAUAAAAUAAUAAUAAUAAUAAUUUUUUUUAAAAAAAAAACCCCGCGUUUUAAUGUCACAGCCAAAGCCCAGAGAGUAUCAAUUGGCGGGCGUGUCACAUGAACGCAAAUGGGCCCCAGCCAGACUGUGUCUAGUCUAGCACCACAUUACUUACAUACAUGGCCUGUUUUAUUUUAUGGGCCCCGGAAAAGAGGCCGAACCUUCUUUUCGUCUUUGUUCGUUCAUCCAACGGCUAAAUCCUACCCCAUCUAGAACUGGGUCCCGCUUGAUGUACGCUCCAGAUUAAACCUCUGUUUCUUCCCGUUGAGAUCCGGACUAUAUAUAUAACUCUCUCAUCGUUUUCCAGUCUUACACUCUCUCUCUCUCUCUCUCUCUCUGUCUCUGUCUCUCUGUGUCUGAUUUCCAUUGUCAUCGAUAGAGAUGGAGCGAAACAACGUGUUCACAAUCGCACUCAUCUGCAUUCUCGUCGCCGGAGUCGGAGGCCAAGCUCCGGCAGCCGCGCCGACAAAGUCUCCGGCGACCCCAGCUGCAACCACACCCACUACUUCACCAUCAGCUGCAACCACACCCACCACUUCACCACCAGCUGCAGCUCCCACAAAGCCCAAGUCACCAUCUCCAGUCGCUUCCCCAAAAUCGGCUCCACCCGCUUCAACUCCGGUGUCGGCAACACCCAAGCCUGCGGCCGCGGCUCCAACUCCGGUGGCUACUCCUCCUACUGUUGCCGUUUCACCUCCAUUGCCAGCUCCAGUGAGCUCACCACCUUCUAAGGCUCCGGCCAGCUCUCCACCGGCUAAAUCUCCUCCGGCAGCCGCUCCGGCUCCAGUCGCUGAGCCACCGACUACACCUGAGGCUCCGACUCCAGCUCCUAGCAAGAAGAAGUCUAAGCACAAGUCUCCGGCGGCUGCUCCCACUCCAGCUUCGGACAGCCCACCCGCGCCUCCGGCUGAGGCUCCUGGAGCAGCGAGCCCCGGUGCUGAAACCCCUGCUCCUUCUGUAGCUGACGAUCAGGUAAUGCUGAGUUGGAUUUUAUUUGGUUCAUUUUUUGUUUUUGAAUUUUCGUCUAGUUUUAGAUCUAAUAUGCUCAGUGGGUGCAAUGCGCACCCAGAUCUGGAACUUUCAGUUCAAAAUCAACCCAAGUUAUUUACAAACAUUGAUUUAGUUACCUGGAUUCCACUCACUCUACUAAAACCCCGACCCUCAAGGUCUUUUCCUUACCGCUGAGAGCCUCUGUUCUCACUCAUCUAAACGCUGCGUUCAGUGAUGUUCGCGGUGCUUGCUCACUCGCGCUUUAGAGCGUGUAGUUGGCGCUAUACUUUGAAUCUCAUCCAGAUCUGUUGAUCUGGGAUCUGAGUGGUAGGUGGUGGGUUAUCCCGCCAUCGAUGGCCAACCGCCUACACAACAUUGUCACGCGCCACCGUCGGUGGUGGGUAAAUUUGGCUAGUAUGGCUAAUUUACUUAAUUGCCCCUCGCUAAUUUUACCCCUACCCACAGGCAUUGAGUCAGAGUGUGUCAUUAUUAUAUUCACAUGUGCUGCAUGAAUCAUGAUGGAAGUAAAUAAAUAGUUAUUGACCAAAAAAAAAAAAGUAAAUAAAUAGUUGUUGUUUAUUGGUAAAUAUUAAAUAGUAAAUAAAUCGA